UGUUUUUUGUCUAGGAUGGCCGUGUAAAGAGUCACGACUUUUGAGACGCAUCAUAAUAGUCUUGUUGUAUUAUAUUUUGAUUUUGAGAUUCAUAGUAAGUUGUUUUUGUUCCCUUUUCUUUGAAUUACUCAAAUUUGUGAACUCUCCACUUGGUUAUUAAGUUAUUUAAUUGUUUACUCAUUUAACAGGUAUUAUUGAAUCAUUCUUCACACACACACUAUGACACAUACUAGUGGGUUGUAAGUUAAAGUUUUACAGCAUUUAGUUCUUUUGAUUUAUUAGGAAUAGUAUCUAAGGUAGUAGAAAGUGUAUAUUUCCAAAAACAAAAAAACAAAAAAACCAAAAAAAAAAAUCAAAAAAAAAGAAGAAGAAAAAAUGUUUUUAAUUUUGUUAUAUCUAGAAACCCGAGUAAUUAAGUCCGUAGGGGUGUUUCAACACCUAGUGCCCUAAGGUCAACUAGUCUGGGAGUCACUGGCAUAAAGCUCGCUACAUGGGUAAUAGAUAUAUUGUUUGUUUAUUAGAAACCCGAGUAAUUAAGUCCGUAGGGGUGCUUCAACACCUAGUGCCCUAAGGCCAACUGGUCUGGGAGUCAUUGACCUAAAGCUCGCUACACGGGUUAGAAAUGUAAUAUAAAAAAAAAAUGUGUGAAUAAUCUAUUGCCUAAAGAUAUAAUUUCUAAUGAAUUUUAGAACGAAAAUGUUGUUUUUCUUUUAAUGAAGCCCCAUAAGUAUUGUGUUAAUUACUUGAGCACAAAAGAAGGUUUGAUGAUAUUCUGGAUAAUGAGUGAACAUCAAUGUGGUAAAGGAAUUUGGGAGAGUUCAUUUAUUUGGUAAUUUAGAGGAUAGAUGAACAACUAUUAACUUGCAUGUGAAUUUUAUAAAUCUUAAUAUAACACUUUAAUUGCUAGAGGGCUAGCAAUAAGCUGGUUGGGGGGUGUGAUUAGUAUUAAAAAUUGUUUAAUUAUCAAGCGAUAAUAUGUUAUUUUAUGCUUAUGUUAUAAUUUAUAUUUGUGUUUAUGUAAUAUAUUAUGAAUUAUUAAUUAUGUUUUAAAUAUAUUUAAUUUUGUGUAUUUUUAUGUGUUUAUUAGGAAAAUUAUUAAUUUCACGUACUUCGAGGCUCCAAACAGAUAAACGGAGGUCAAAUUUGGAUUCCGGAGGUCCGAAAACCUUAAGAUCAGUCAAGAUCGGCUUAAAAUUGGGCUUGUGUAAAAAAAGUUGACUUUUCCUGUUGACCGAGCACUGAUUGGAUGAUGAAAUGAGCUUACAAUAGAUAUGAGUGCAUGGGAUAAUUGGCAAUCUUGACUAAAUCUCAACCGUUCAUGAUUCAAUGGCCAUGAUUGUGCCACGUGGCAAUGGUUGGUGAAGCAAGUUGGAGGAUCCGAAUCUUUGUAUUCGGGUCGACCCGAUCCACCCAUUAACCCGCCAAAUCUCAACCGUUCUUUGGGUAAAUCGGACGAGUCAAAUGAUGCCAUGUGUGAUGUUGACUUUUGAAGUUUGACCAGCCAUUGGAUCUUGAUCUAAGGGUUGUGAGGAGCACAUGCAUGAAGCCUAUGAUGGACCGCAAAGCACUGGAUUAUGAAUUUAUUUUUCUAUAAAUAGAGCCUCAUUUUUAUGUUUUAAUCAUCUCUCUACAACUCUCUUCUUCUCAAAUUCUCUCCAUCUCCUUGUAAUCUUGAUUUCCAGGUUUGUUUUUAAUAUUUUGUAUAAUUAUUUUCAUUAAUAAAAUUAGUUUUAUUUCCAAUUUUAGUUGUUUUUAUUUCUUUUAAUUAUAAGUAAUUCAAUUUUACUACUUCUUUUUAUUUUAAUUAUGCUUAACUAAAUAAUAUUAGUUAGGGGAAGGUGAAACUCUUAAGAAAUAAAUAUGAUUUAAUCAAAUUCUAUGUUUAAUUUUAUAAAUUAAAUUAUUUUCUAUUUAAUUUUAUACAUGUUUUAUAUUUUGAAAAUUUGAUUUAUUGUAGACAAACAAAUGAAUUUGGCACAAUAAAUUCUUAAAAUCUUAAUAUAAGGCAUGGUGAAAUGGUAUUUUGACUUAUUGUAGACAAAUUAAAUUUUGGCACAAUAAAUACUUAAUCCAUCAUAAAAUUAAAGGGAAAAUAAUAAUAAUUUGUAUAAUUAAUCUUUUGAGUAAUAAAUCUAAAACAAAUUGGCAAAAAGAAUUUAUUAAGUUUUAUUUAUUUCUAAGAGUGGAUCCAUAACCCUAACUAGUUCAAUUCCAUAGUUUCAUUUAAAUUAAGUUGUUUAUAUUCAAGUUUUAAUUUCAAUUUUUAGAUAAAAUAAAAUAAACUAAUUAAAUCUUUUCUCUGUGGAUCGACCUCGGACUCACCGAGUUAUAAUACAACAAGACACUCUUAUACUUGGGAGUUAAAAUUUACUUUUAAGUUGUGUCACUUUCCCGAACUUCCAUUAAGAUGGGAUUAUGGUCGGAGCUCCAGCUUACAAGGUUUGUUGCCAUUGCAUCGUGGAAGUGAUCUGUCCAGUCUUUACUACAAAAAAAUCUAUCUAAUUUCUCCUCAAUGAAACCUGAUCCGAAUCUCCUAUUAGACCAAGUGUAAGAACAUCCAUUACUUCCCAUAUCAAUUAGCUUACUGUCCUGGAUAGCCUUUCGAAAUUCGCUGACAGCAUUUGAGUCUCUGUCAUUACCUCCAUUCUUUUCAUGCAAGUGAAGGAUUUCAUUAAAGUCACCAAAGCAAAGCCAAGUAGUGGAAGAUAAGCCUGCGAGCCUUCUGAGUAAAGUCCAAGUAUGCCUUUUUUGAUCCGCCUCCGGAUGUCCAUAAAUUCCCGUACACCUCACCCAUUUCCCUCGUUCGGUUUGCACUUCAGCAUCUAUAUGGUGGCUGCUGAAAGAUGUAAUGUUGACUGAGAUUUCUGAGUUCCACAUCAUGGCUAUUCCUCCGCUUCUCCCUUUACUGCUAACUGCAAAACAUCCAUCAAACUUCAGUAAUUUGCCAACUUUUCUCAUUUGCACAGACAUCAAUUUGGUUUCACACAAGAAAACAACUUGAGGUUUGUGCAUUUGGAGAAUGGUUUUGAGUGCUAAGAACGUCCGGUCAUUCCCCAUUCUCCGGACAUUCCAGCUGAGGAUCCUCAUGGUUCUCGGCGGGGCUGGUCACCAGCCUCCACCGAUAAGUUCUUUGUUAAAGCUGUAGCAUCUUGCUUUUCUGGGUUUGUAUUUUCCCAGCUCAAUUUGAUCUUUGCCGAAGGAGAGCUGCAGUGCAAGUGUAUGGCUGUUGCUGCCCUUGGGCUAUUUAAUCUUUUCUUCUUACGAUCUGGGCUUCUCCAUGAAAUUGUUUCUCCUUUCCGUUUAGUAGCUCCCAAUCCCUUUUUUGCCUUACUGCUGCUGCUUAUUUCCUUAGCCUGUAGUUUCCACUUCUUGCGUUUGGGCUUACUUUGGCUCGCUACUGGCCCAUUCUCCACUUUCUCUUCCGCACUUGCUUGGCAUGUGUUGUUUUCUUUAAAUGAGUUUUCAGCUUCUUUUUCCCGCUCUUUUUCUUUUCCUUCUUUUGUGAUUAAUUUCCCGCUUUGCUCUGUUGUGUCAGCUUCUGCAACUUCUACAGCUGGUAGCUUGAGCUGUCUCCUCGAAUUUCCAGCUUCUUACAUUACAUGUUCUCCAUCUACUUUGCCAUUCUUUCCAUGGACCAUUGGGUCUAAAGGUUCACCUGAUUUGAGAGGACUGGAUUCAGAUCCAUAUUCAGUUUCCGGGUCCCGUUGACUGUUUUGCAUUUUCUGUUGACUUUGGUUAUCCGAAGCACCAUCUCCUUUCUUGAAUUGAUUCUGUUCUCGCUGCCAUUUAUCUCGGCGGUUCUGCUUUAGUUUUCCAAAUCGUGUUGUAGCUUUCAUCCAGUAGUCGUAAGGGAGGUCUUCCUUGGGUUGCCCUUUAUACUCUAUGCACUCCUUAUGUUGAUGCCCUAUAAGCCCACAACAAAAACAGAAAUCAGGUAGUCUUUCAUAGAGAAUUGGAAUUGGGAUGCUGCCUUCAUCUUCUGUUUCCACUUCUAGAAAUUUCCGAAGGGGUUUAGUGAUAUCCACCGAGAUUCGGAGUCUUGCAAUCUCCCCAAUACAGUUCCCCUCUUCCACUGAACCAAUGAACUCUCCCACUGAACCAAUGAACUCUCCCAACUCUUGGACCAUAUCUCUGUGCAUCCAUGUAAUCGGCAUAUUACGAAGAUGAACCCAAAAAAGUGUGAGAGUGAAUGACUAGUUUGCUAUGUCUCCAAUGCCUUUUGGUUCCGUUAACACCAUUAGCGCCCCAUCAAAAUGCCAGGGCCCUCCUCCCAUGACUCUCUUUUUAUCAGCCUCCACAGCAAACUUAAACAUAAAUAUGUUACUGCCCAAGCUCUCUAUUCUCACUUCUUUAUUUGUUCUCCAUAUCUGUAGCAUAGCAGAUCUGAGACCUUCUAGAUUCACUCCUCUUUGGUGCAUAAUCUUGCCCACCAGACAUCAUGCUGCUAUUUGCUCCCCCCUAGCACUCUUUCUACCCAUGAAUGAUAUCUUAUUCGGCUGCUCUCCUUUGAUUGAAAUAGCUUUGCAUUUGCGAAUUAACUCCUCUGUAUCCAUACCUUGCUAGUUCUCAACUACUUCAAUAAAGAACUUCUAAAAGUUUUCCUGCAACAAUCCCCGUGUUUAAUGAACUCCGCCUGUUUUAUGACUUUCACUGCCAACCUCAGAAGGUUGGGGACAAUACUAUGAGAACUAAACUAGCCGCCACUAUCAAAGAGUGGCUAUAUGAGCCAUAAAGACUCUUUGUUUCUCUCCUUCAAGGUUUUCUCACGAAGAGGAGAGCACCUGUGAAGAGAGACUUACGUGAAUAAAUAAAUAUUAACAGAACGGGAUCCUAGGUCAUUUAAGAUGGGAUUUGAGAUAAAAUUUAUAUCUCAAUUUACUAUUUGGGCUGAGAUUCGAGUCGUUUGAAAAUUCCGAUUGAGAUCUUGAAUGUCCCAAAAUCUAAGUUUUUAGAAAUAUAUGACAAGUCAGUUUAGUUAAUUACAUAUAUUUGACAUGUUGGUCAUAUACAUAUGAUGAAUCGUUUAGUAAAAAAAUGUAUGACAUGUCGGUUAUAGGAGUAUGACAUGUCAUUUGUGACAUAAUCAGCAGUAUAUAAUAGAAAACUCAUGUCAUCUAGAAAAAUUCGGGAUCUUGUUCAAGACGGUAUCAUGACACAUUUUUGUACCAAUUUAUUGUUGGAGACAGGAUCAAAUUCGGUGAAUCUUGACCCAUCUUGUCAAGUUACCAACACUACUCCUUAGUGACUUUAAGUCUAUAAAAAAAGGUAUUAUAAUUUAAAACAUAUCAAUAAACAACCAGGUCUCUAAAUAAUGCUCAGUUUCUACUCCACUCAAGUGUCCAUUUAGUUUUAAGGCCAUUGGGACCUUUGUUCGAAUCUCCCCCGCCCACAUUUAUUUUUUUAAAAUAUAUAUUGAUCAUUUGUGCAAGAUUAUGCAUCCAUUAAAAAAAUAAAUAAAUAUAACAAUACUAAGUAACUUUCGAUAGUUCAAUUGUCAUAUAAAUUAAGAAAUAAUAUUCAUGCUAACACUAACUUAGAGCAUAAAGUCUUUAUGCCACCUCUAAGGUAUCUUCAUUAACAACACUUAGAUUUCUUCAACAAGUUUUACAAUACUAGCUCCAAGCCUCUUGCAUCCAUAUCCCGUUCUACAGUCUCAUGCUCCACAUGGUCCAAGUUGUUUUUCUCUAUUGAUUUCAAUUCAACUACCAUCCACUGAAAAAAAAAAAUCACUUGGAAAAAAUUAAUUAGAAUUAGGAUUAUAUUAAUAUAAGUUGUGGCUUGAAAUAUAUUGUUUAGAAAAUAUGAAAACAAAUUUAUGGAAUUUAAACAUUAAAUAAUUUAAUAAUUAGAGAACUAAAUUUAAUCCUAUUUGGAUAUAUAAUAUUAUCAUAGUUAUUUCCAAUUAACAAUAUGUUUAAGAAAAUCAUGUUAUGAUAUUAUAUUAAUCUUGAACUAAAUACACAAAAAGUACAAAUAUAGGGUGAGUUUCUUAAUAAAAUUGUGGCUUAAUAUUUACUAGCUAAGACAAUAAGAGACUGGUUACAGUGCUUGUUGUUAACAUGAAUAUGUUCAUUAUAUUGAUUUUGAUGAUAACAAACUUUAAAUGUUUUUUAUUAAAAUGUUGGAGCUAAUCAUUAAUAAACAAAAGCCAUAUAAUCAUUCCUAUUGUGUUCAUGAAAGAUGUAAAGUUGAUUAUACUUCAAUUGGAAGAUGAUUCCCUAUGAUAUUUGGCUAAAACUGUGAUUCUAGAAGUAAACAGUGAACCGUUUACCUUGAAAUGGUUAACCGAUAAAAUCCAGAGAGGGACAAUUGCUUAAGCUCUAAUCGGUUAGCAAAAACGGAAAACAUAAUAUGCUGGGAAGGUUACUGGAAUUAAACGGUGAACCGUUUAUAGCAAACGGUUAACCGAUAAAUUCCAGAAUAGAAGCUUGUACUAAUCUUGCACCGUUUAAUAGAAACGGAUAAAGCUAUUUCGUUUUGCAGGUUACUGGAAAUAACUGGUGAACCAUUAACUUCAAACAGCUAACCGAUAAUUUUCAGACUGUCAUUUUAUGCUGACCUUUAACCGUUCAGUAAGAAUGGAUAGCAGAAAUUUAUUUUACAAGUCUUUGGAAAUUAACGGUGAAAGGGUAGUGACAAACGGUCAAUCGUUUAUUUGAAAUUUGGUUCAACGGUAACUUUGACCAAUACAAAUGAUUAACUGAUAACGGUUAACGGCGAUCCGUUUUCUCCCAAAAAUUAAAUAACGGCUAAUUUUUCAGCUCCAACUAUAAAUAAGCUCAUUCAAAUUCAAACAAAAGUUGAUCACAACUCUAUCAUUGAGCUCCUAAUCGAGAAUACAACCUUUAUAAAGCUUUAAACACAUUCUUACUUCAUUUAUUCACAUAUUGGGCAUUGAUUUGUAAUCUUAAGUAUUGUGUAGGUGAAGAACAAAUUUAUAAUCUUUACUUUGAGUGAUUGGAGGCGUGGACGUAGGCGAGGUUGGCCGAACUACAUAAAAAUCUCCGUGUUUGAAUCUCUCUUCCCUUAUCUUUUUAUUUUGUGAUUGAUUUAUUUGUUAUUGCUUUAAAUUCAUUUUAGAUUAGCAUUGAGUUUUGUUUUAGAAUUGAAUAAUUUUUAGAUACCCAAUUCAGCCCCCCCUCUUGGAUUGCAUAAGUAGAAUUUUAUUUGGUAUCAAAGCCUUGUUCUCUUAUUAGGACUUAAGCGUCUAGAGUAAAAGAUCCAUGACAACCUAAAAUAACUCAAGCUUUAGGGAAGGAUAGUCCACAACUAGACUAUUGUUCUUUGACAGUAAUGACUAUCCAUAUUGGAAAACUAGCAUGAGAAUUUACUUGCAAGCUUUAAAUUACGAAUUUUGGGAAGUUGUUUGUGAUGGUCCAUUUAUACCUAUAACUAAAAAUGAAGAAGGAGAUGAUAUUCUUAAACCGUCAAGUCAAUGGAGUGAGUUAGAAAAGAAAACGAUGUCUUUAAACUCCAAGGCAAUGAAUACUCUGUUUUGUGCUCUAGAUAAAAAGGAAUUUCAUAGAGCAUCUAGUUGUGAGAGUGCUCAAGAAAUAUGGAAUAAACUUGAGGCUGUCUAUGAAGGAAUAAAUCAAGUUAAAGAGUCUAAAAUCAGUAGAUACACUCAUCAAUACGAAUUGUUCUAGAUGGAACAAAAUGAAAGUGUGUAUUCUAUGUAUACAUGAUUUACGAACAUAGUGAACACCCUAGGAGCCAUAGGAAAAACUUUCUCGAAUAGUGAGAAAGUAAAGAAAAUCAUUAGGCCACUUCCAAAAGAAUGUAGACCUAAGAGAACUGCUAUUGAAGAGGCAAAAAGUUUAAAUACUUUACCUCUUGAUGAUUUAAUUAGCUUUCUUAUUUCAUAUGAAUAAGACGUGGUAACAGAAAAAAGGCAUGAUGAGAAGAAGAAAAAUAUUGCUUUCAAAGUUUCAAAACAUGAGAGUGAUGAAGAAAGUGCGCUGGAUGAUGAGGAGAUGGGUAUGCUGACUAGAAGAUUCAGAAAAUUUUACAAGAAAACUAGUGAGCGAAGAAAGUUUCGAAACUUCAAAAACCAAAAGGAGAAAAAGGAUAAAAUCAUUUACUAUAAAUGUAAAAAGCCUAGACAUAUACGGUUGAGUGUCCUCUGCUCAGCAAGCUCAAAAAGUAAGCAAUGGUAGCUACAUAGGACGAUAGCGACGAGGAGACAAGCGAUAAUGAAGAACAUGAAGAAAUGACAAAUUUAGCUCUCAUGGCGAUCGGGGAAGAAUCAUUGGAUGAACUUGAUGCGGGAUCAAAGAAAAGGAAAAAUAAGUGGUACUUAGACAGCAGAUGUUCAAGACAUAUGAUAGGGAAUUAUCUUGGUUUUCAAGUUUUACUAAAAUUGAAAAUGGUGGAAAUGUGUCCUUUGGAGACAACUCAAAAGGGAAAAUCAUUGGUAUCGGAAUGUUGAAAACUUGAAACAUAAUUUGCUUAGCAUUAGUCAAUUGUGUGAUAAGAGUUGUAUUUUCCUCUUAUCCAAAACCCCAAUAACACCUAAUCUCUCAAUAGAUCUACCGUUUCUCUCACACUUUGUCUAUUUGCAGAGAACUGAUUGUUGUGAUAUGUACAAAAGUGAACUCAACCUCCCUAUAUAGUAAUUAUUUCUUGUAGGAGAAGUAUUUCUUUCCUUAUACAAGUUGUAUUGCUUCUUAAAUAAGUUAAAUCCCAAAAGGGAAAUUACUUAUUACUUAAAUAGGAAUCCUUAUAAAUAAGAAAACUACUAAAUAUGAAAAGCCCAAAAAAUGUCCUAAUUUAGAAUUUACAAAUCUUCAUUGAAAAAGGAGGCAUAUUUCCUAAAAAUCAUUUUAUCAUAUAGCAGCACAACAAACGUAGUCAAAAUUUAUAUUUCAAUAUCAACAUAAAAUUGUCUAGAACAAUAUUAAGUUCACAAGGUAUUGAAAAAUUAUUGCUCCCAGCCUAUUGUCUAAUAAUCAGUAGCAUAAGUUUUCUACAAUGUUACCUAAAAAUCUUAUAUCACAUAUAACAAACAAAUAAAUACCCAAAAUUUAUGCUAAUAAUUAUUAAUUAUUAUUAUUAUUAAAUCUUAAAAAUAAUUAAAGUACUAUUAUAAUUAUUGAGAAUAUGAUAGGAAGUAUGAAUAAAUAAAUGAUAUAAGAAGAAAGAAAAGAUAGAUUUUAUUAGAAAUGAAAAUUAUUAUUAAUUUUACAAUGAAUUACAAGUGAAGUACAAGACCCUAUUUAUAAAUUGGAUGACCCAAUAUAAAAUUGCCACAAUUAAAUCACACGUGCAUAAUUACAAACUUUGCCAUUCACAUAUUUAUCCAAAAAUCAUCCUUGAUCUCUUGUGACUAACCAUGUAUGCAUGUGAUUUACUUAUGGUGUGUUUAUUUUUUGAAUUAGAGAAUUGGAAUUCAGAAUUAGAAUAAUUGACAGCGUUUACUUUGCAAAAUAAAGGCGGGAAUCAGAAUCACGGGGCCCACCACAAUUGGGAAUGGGGAAUGGGAGAUUUAUUCUUUAAGAGGGGUAGGAAUUAGUCUCCCGUUCCUGAGAAUUUCAAUUUCUCCCCCCAAAAAAUUCAAAAACCUAAUUUUGCCCUUUGUUGAAAAAAAAAAAGAGCACAGGUCAGAUUCGUCGUCUUUGUUGUUUUCGUCUUCUGAUUUUUGCCAAAAUCGAGCCUCAUCGUGCAAUCUUCGUCCUCACCAUUUGCAAUCCACCACCACCAGUCGUCUCCGGUGGUGAUGUCUAUGACGACGACCAUGUUGCUGAUGUGAUGAUGAUUUUUAUUAUGGUUAUUAUUAUUAUUAUUAUUAUGUGAAUGGAUUAUUAUUAUUAUUAUUAUUAAUGAUAAAAAAGUAUUAUAAUUAAUUAAUAUAUUAAUGUUAAUAAUAAUAUUAUCAUUAACAAUAAUUACCAAUAAUAAUAAUUUUUAAUAAUAACAAUCACAAUAACUAAAAUAAAAAUUAAUAUUUAUGACAAUAGUUAAUUAAGGACUUUUUAAUAAUUUGAACAAUAAAACUCAUUCUGAUUCUGAUUCUAAGACAAAGUAAAUACAUUAAUAGAAAUACAACUCAUUCUAAUACCGAUUAUUACAGUUCAAGUAAAUAACUUAUUUUAAUUCAUAUUUCCCAUUCACAUUCUAGCCCAUUCUGAUUCUAGCACAUUUCGAUUCCAGCUCUUAGCUUGUUAAACAAUCAAGGUAAAUGGUUUGUAUGUCGUGCUAGAUUAAGUUUUGCACACUUGAGCUCGUCAAGCUUAGCCUCCCGUGUCAGUUAGCUUUGGUCUUUUAAUAUUAGUUAAUGGUGGAGAGCCACAUGUUUGUUGUAAGAUUGCACAUGCAAGAACUAUUGGAAUGAUGUGCUCUUUAAUACAUAUUUAUUUGUAAUAAAUGGCUUUCUUAUUAAUAAAAUUUUAAUAGAUUUUUUAGAUAUCUUAAUUGCAUAAGUAUUUUGAAUAAAGUCCAUUUAAUCAUAUUAUAUAUAUUUAUGUGAUCAACAAUUAGAUUCUUAAAAGACAUAAAUUUAAGUUAUUUUAUGAUUAAAUAAAUUAUAUUGUAGUGAAUUUGUUAAAUGAUUUUUAUUAAAUCAUAAAUGAAUUUACUAAUGUAGUUUGACUAUAUUGAACUGGAUUAUAAAUGAGAUUUGACUAUAUUAAACUAGAUUGUAUAUGAGAUUUAAUUAAUCUUGAAAUGACUAUCAGAUUUACUAACUCUCAUAUGCAUUGAUUUUAUUGCAAUCUUAAUCUUGAGUUAAUUAUAGUUUCAUGAUUAUGAUUUUUAUUCCAUUUGAGUUACCAAUGGGCACGAUAUACAUUUGUAGUCAAGAUUACUUGAUAUCUUGGUGGAAGCAUUUAUGAGUAGUGAAAUUAUAGAUUAACAAUAUAAAAUUUGUACAACACUUCUCUUGACAGGUUUUUGAUACUUGAUCAUAAAAUUUUCAAAUCAAAGUGUGCUAACAUAAUUAGUAUGUUGAAAAUGAUCGUUAGAGAAAACCAGUAAGUGUCAAGGAACAAGAUGUAACUAAAUUAAUUGGACAAUUGAGAUAUCAAUUUUAUUGAUGUGGCACAAAUGAUUGUUAAGUAAAGAAAUCAAUGUGGAAUAGGUCAAAUUAUUAUUCGAGAACAUUAUCCUAGAUAGCAUGCAAUUAUGAGGGUCCAUUUUAAUCUUUUAGUAGAGUAGAUUUAUAAUCAUGCUAGUUUAAUUACAGACAUAAUUAUUGUAAUCACUGUUGAGUGUUAGAAAAUGCAUAUUUAUAAAGGAGAAAACCAUCAUUUUACAUUUCAAAUCUUACUAACAACCCUUACUUUUAUGUAUUUAACCUUCUUGUGAUUUAAUUACAUGUGUUUUAUUUUAAUUAAGUAUUUUAUGUAUUUUAGGGGCAUUAUAGUCAUUUCACAAUAAAGGAGAGAUCAGACGGCAAAACGGACAUCACUUUUGAACUCAGGACAGUCGAAAACCUUAGGAGGAGCAUAAAAGGAAAAAUGGCACUAUUCAUAUGUACGGUACUAUUCACGUGUACGGUACUAUUCACGUGUACGGUACUAACUACGUUACUGUUCACAACACUGUUCACAUAGACGGAUCGAUGACGUGGCAUUGACCGAUGAUGUGGCAUUGACUGAUGAGGUGUUACGAUCCUGUUGGGCUAAAAUUCUUAUGUACUGUUGAUGGUGACGUGGCAGCAUAUCAGUGGAUGAAAAAUCUCGCGUACGAUACAUGCAUCACACAGGAUUAUUUUCAACCAAACCGCGUUACUGUUCAUCCGAGUCAAACCGCGUUACUGUUCAUCCGAGUCAAACCGUGUUACUGUUCAUCCGCGUUGUCAAACCGUGGACUGUUGACUGAUGACGUGGCGCAAUCCUGAGCGUCCAAACUGUUUUUAAUCCGAUGACCAUGAUUUACUCCAUGUAUCUAUAAAAAGGGGACCUCCCCCCCUAAUUUGAUAUCUCUGAAUCCAUUUUUGGGAUCCAUUUUCUGUAAUUCCUUCUCCAUCUUAUAUUUUCUUCGUAUUUUAAUAAAUUUCUAUUUUGCCCCUAGUUCAAUUAUGAGUGGCUAAUUUUCUUUCAGGCUUGGGUUGAAGGUGAAGUCUCAACAUGUGUCAUGGGCUUAAUUUGGUAAAUUUAUUUUCUCUUCCCCUCUAGUUUUUGUGGAUGUUUUGACUUCUCGUCGACAAAUAAUAAUAGUCUUGUCUAGAUACCGCCUUGGUUACACUGGUUCUCUAGUAUAAGGUUAUUAUUAUUUGGCACGAUAAGCCCUUAGCACCAUAUUGAUUAGAGCGUGGUUCAUGAGGUGUGGAUUCCCCCCUCAUGAUUUAAUUGGCAUUAAUACGGAUUAUUUAGCCCAUGAUGUAUGUUGAUAUGGAUCCAGAUACCCAAGUACGUUAUUUCAAUAGAAUUCUCUUCAAUUUCUUCUCGCCAUUUCAAUACCAAUUUUAGAAUUUAUUCUUGCCAUUUUAAUUUAAGUUUUAGCAUAUUCCAAAUCAUUUCCACCACAAAUCCAAUCACCCAUUCACAAAAUUAAUUCUACAUAUAAUUAAAAUCCACCUCCUCGUGAGAUCGACACUCGUCACCAUUGAUCUAUACUACAAUAGAUUCGUGCGCUUGCGAGUACAUUAAAAUUUGCACAACAAGUUUUUGGCGCCGUUGCCGGGGAGGUAAGUAAUUUUAAUUCAUAGAAUUAAUUUUUGUGAAUAAUUUCUUUUAUUUGUUUUCUUGUAUUUUUUUUAUUAUUAAAAAAAAAGUGAAUCUACAUUUAAAGGUUAGUAUUUUUUUUUCUUUUUCUCUUCUUUAAAAUUCUGUAAUUUAUUUUUUAAUUUAUUUUUCUUUGUAAUUUUAUUUUAUUUUAUUUUAAUUAAUUUAAUUUUUAGUUAAUUUCUUUCACGUAUUUAUUUUUGUGUAUUUUUAUAGAAAGGUUGUCAUAGCGCAAUAAGGUUAGUAUCGUAAUUUCUCCUUCUUCUUUAUUUUUAUUUGUUUUGUUCCCAUCUUUAUUUUUAUUUUAUUUGUUUUGCAUGCAUGGUCGUAGGUCAUUAUUACCCAAUCUUGAACCUAUAGACCUUGAACUUGAGAAAACACUUCGCACACACAAACAUAUUAAAAAUAAAAUGGAUUUGCAACCACAGGAGAGGCCAUUUAAGGACUACUUCAGUCCUUUAGCUAAUUUGAGCACAUCAUGCAUAAGAUACCCUAAUGUAGCUGCUAGGAGCUUUGAACUAAAACCUAGUGUGCUAAAUUGUCUCCCCACAUUUUAUGGCCUAGAAAAUGAGGAUCCAUAUAAUCAUCUGAAUGAUUUUCAUGCCAUUUGUCAAACUUUUAAAUAUGAAAAUUUUUCAGACGAUAAUGUUAAACUCAGAUUAUUCCCAUUUUCUUUAAAGGAUAGAGCUCGUUCAUGGCUUAAUACAUUGCCUGCUAAUAACAUUUCAUCAUGGGAACAAAUGGUAACUAAAUUUUUGAAUAAAUAUUUCCCAGUACAUAAAACCAAUGCUAUUCGCAGGGAAAUCUCAGAGUUUACUCAGAGAGAGGACGAGCAAUUUUUCGAAACGUGGGAGCGAUUCAAUGAGCUACUCUUGAAGUGUCCACAUCAUGGGUACGAGAAAUGGCACCAAUGCCAAUACGUUUUGGAGGGAUUAUUGCCAAAUGUGCAAGAAUGGCUAAUGGCAACAAGUGGAGGAGAGCUAAUGUCAAAAAGUGCAUCAGAGAUUUGGGAAUUCUUCCAGCGACAAGCGGAUAAUUCCCAACAACGGAGUCGAUCAAUCAGGAAUACUAGAAGAAUUAAGGGAGUAAAUGAGGUUCAAAUUGGCGAGUCAACUUUGGGAAUCAAAGAAGUCAAGGAGAUGGUUGAAGGUCUUGCUCGACAAAUAGCAUCGUUAUCGACUGCUAAAUCAACAGAGCCACAUGACCAUAACUCAUACUCAGAUCAAGCCAAUGCCAUAGGUGUAAUGAGAAAACCAUCGAAUUACAACCCAUACUCCAACACAUAUAACCCUGGAUGGAGAGACCACCCCAAUUUUUCAUGGUCUCAAGGAUUCCAACAGAAUGGACCAGCAGCUCCAGCUCCACCAAUGCAACAAAUUUCUCAAAAUCCUCAAGCCUCUCAGCCCCCAUUUAGACCAUACAAUCAGAACCAGAACUACUCUCAACCCAGACCAUGGGAGGAUUCAUUCCAAAAUCUCAAGAAUCUUACUCACUCUACGAUUGAGCAACAGAACCGCACCAUUGAUGGACUACGAAAUGAGUUGAGAGCAGGCUUCAACUCACAAGCUCAAUCGGUUUCAAGCCUCGAGAAGAUGGUGGGACAACUUGCUUCUUCAGUUCAGACCUUGGCAAUGACCGUUGAGAAAGGCAAAUUUCCAAGUCAACCAGUGCCUAAUCCUAAAGGAGUACAUGAAGCAAGUACCAGUUCACCACAGCAGCAUGGAGAGAUCAAAGCAGUAAUGACCUUGCGAAAAGGAAAGGAAGUCGACAACAAAGUGGAGAUGCCGGUGACAAAAGAAAAUCAAAUUGUACCUGUGAAUGUUGAGGACUCAUCACCGGAGGAGAAAGAAGAAACUAACCCACGAGAAUACGUUCCCAAAGCUCCAUUUCCUCAAAGGUUAGCUAAAGGAAAGAAGGGAAAAUCCACAGGUGAGAUUCUUGAAAUCUUCAAAUAGGUAAGUGUUAACAUCCCUUUGCUUGAUGCUAUUAAACAAGUUCCAUCUUAUGCCAAGUUUCUUAAAGACCUUUGCACUAAAAAGAGAAAUAUGCAUGUUCAAAAGAAUGCUUUUUUAACAGAAAACGUUAGUUCUAUACUCCAACAUAAAAUUCCUUUAAAAUGCAAAGAUCUAGGCUCCCCCACUAUCUCAUGUAGCAUAGGGAACCACACAAUUGAGAAUGCUUUGUUGGAUUUAGGAGCUAGUGUAAAUUUGUUGCCUUAUUCAGUAUUUGUGAAACUUGGACUUGGAGAAUUACACCCAACUCCAGUGGUGUUACAGCUUGCAGAUCGGUCCACAAAAAUACCUCGUGGUAUUGUGGAGGACGUGCUUAUCCAAGUAGACAAGUUUUAUUUUCCUGUUGAUUUCAUUGUAAUUGACACUCAACCAAUACAGGAUUCAAGGAAGCACAUCCCCAUUAUCCUAGGCCGACCUUUCUUGGCAACUGCGGAUGCUCACAUUCAAUGUAGGACUGAAAAUAUGCAGUUGUCCUUCGGCAACAUGACUAUGGAGCUGAACAUCUUCAACAUUGCCAAACAACCUCACAGUGCAGAUGAUGGAAUUGUUGAUGUGGAUUUAAUUGAAGCAUUAGUUGAUGAUACUUUUGUUUCAAACCUUAGUGAUGAUCCUUUACAAACAUGUUUAACUCACUUUGGUUUGGAUUUUGAUAUUGACAGAUCGGUCGAUGAGGUCAAUGCCCUGCUUGACUCAGCACCAUCUAUGGACACUAAUAAAUGGAAGUCAAGAGUUGAGCAACUAGCACCAUCAGAGAAGCAACUCAUUCCAUCAUCAGAAUCACCACCGAAACUCGAGCUCAAACCAUUACCCAACACUCUGGAAUAUGCAUUUUUAGGAGAAGAAAGUACUCUGCCGGUAAUCAUCUCAUCAUCCCUAAAUGACGAACAAAAAGGUAAGUUGUUGGAUGUUUUAAAAGAUCACAAAGGGGCAUUAGGAUGGACCAUAGCAGACAUUAAAGGUAUAAACCCAGUAGACUACAUGCAUUACAUUCACCUUGAUGAAAAUGCUAAAACUACUAGGGAAAUGCAACGUCGGUUAAAUCCUAACAUGAAAGAAGUUGUUAGAACUGAAGUCCUUAAGCUAUUAGAUGCAGGUAUCAUUUACCCAAUUUCUGAUAGUUCAUGGGUCAGUCCUGUACAAGUUGUCCCCAAAAAGUCAGGAGUCACAGUAGUUACCAAUGCUGAUAAUGAAUUGAUACCCACUAGAGUAACUACAGGAUGGCGUGUUUGCAUUGAUUAUAGAAAGUUGAAUUCUGUCACACGUAAAGACCAUUUUCCUUUACCAUUUAUCGAUCAAAUGCUUGAUAGAUUAGCAGGCCAUGAAUUUUAUUGCUUUCUAGAUGGCUACUCAGGAUAUAAUCAGAUUCCCAUAGCACCAAAAGAUCAAGAGAAAACUACUUUCACUUGCCCUUUUGGCACAUUUGCAUAUAAGAGAAUGCUAUUUGGAUUAUGUAAUGCACCUGCUACAUUUCAACGAUGCAUGUUAAGCAUUUUUUCUGAUAUGGUUGAACAAUUCCUUGAAGUCUUUAUGGAUGACUUUUCUGUCUUUGGUGAUUCGUUUGAUCAAUGUUUACAUCAUCUAACACUAGUUCUGCAGAGAUGUAUCGAGAAGAACUUGGUCUUAAAUUGGGAGAAAUGUCAUUUUAUGGUAAAACAAUGUAUUGUUCUCGGUCACAUCAUUUCGAGCAAAGGUAUUGAGGUUGACAAAGCCAAGGUGGAUCUCAUUUCUAAUCUUCCUCCACCUAAAACAGUCAGAGAAGUAAGAUCUUUCCUUGGGCAUGCUGGUUUCUAUAGACGUUUCAUUAAAGAUUUUAGCAAAGUUUCUAGACCCUUAUGUAAUUUACUUGCUAAGGAUGUACCUUUUAUCUUUAAUGAUUCAUGUCUUAUGGCGUUUGAAAAAUUAAAACAGUUGUUGACAUCAUCACCCAUCAUUCAGGCCCCAAACUGGAGCUUACCAUUUGAGCUAAUGUGUGAUGCAUCUGAUUAUGCAGUAGGAGCAGUAUUAGGACAAAGAGUUGAUCGAAUUCCCCAUGUUAUUUAUUAUGCUAGUAUGACAUUAAAUAAUGCACAGUUGAACUAUUCAACUACUGAAAAAGAAAUGCUAGCAGUAGUAUUUGCAUUAGAGAAAUUUCGAUCUUAUCUCAUUGGUUGUAAAAUAAUCGUGUUCACAGAUCAUGCUGCUCUUAAAUAUCUUCUCACAAAGAAAGAUGCAAAAGCCAGACUAAUUCGUUGGGUGUUACUUUUGCAGGAGUUUGACUUGGAAUUCAAAGAUAAGAAAGGGACAGAAAAUGUUGUGGCGGACCACCUCUCUCGUCUCCAUUUUGACACAAUUACAGAGCCAUUAAUAUUGAAUGAGUCAUUUCCAGAUGAACAAUUAAUGAAUGUGGAAGUAUUACCUUGGUAUGCUGAUAUAGUUAAUUAUCUUGUUACAGGUAAACUUCCAGAGCAUUGGACCAAGCAAGACAAGGCUAAAUUCUUUGCAGAAAUAAAGAAUUUCUUUUGGGAUGACCCGUAUUUGUUCAAGUAUUAUGCAGACCAAAUUGUUAGACGAUGUGUCCCAGAAAGUGAAAUUCAAAAUAUCCUUUCAUUCUGCCAUGAACAAGCUUGUGGAGGCCAUUUCAGUGCUAAGAAAACAGCGACUAAAGUUUUACAAUGUGAUUUCUAUUGGCCAACUAUAUUUUGAGACGCUUACACUUUCUGUUCUUCAUGUGAUAGGUGUCAACGAAUGGGGAGCAUUACGCGAAGGAAUAUGAUGCCACUAAAUCCAAUUUUAGUGGUUGAGAUUUUUGACGUAUGGGGUAUUAACUUCAUGGGACCCUUUCCCCCUUCUUUUGGCCAUCAAUACAUAUUGGUUGCUGUUGACUACGUAUCAAAAUGGGUAGAAGCAAUUCCAUGUAGGACCAAUGAUCACAAGGUGGUGAUAGGAUUUUUGAAAAGCAACAUUGUCUCGUGCUUUGGAUUCCCUUGAGCAAUAAUCAGUGAUAGUGGUGCCCACUUUUGUAACAAAGCAUUCAAAGCUCUUUUGACAAAGUAUUUAAUCACACACAAAGUGGCGACCCCGUAUCAUCCGCAAACCAGUGGCCAAGUUGAGAUCUCCAAUCGAGAAAUAAAGCACAUAUUAGAAAAAACGGUGAGGCCGGACAGAAAAGAUUGGUCAUUAAGACUUGAUGAUGCCUUAUGGGCAUAUAGAACGGCUUUCAAGACCCCGAUUGGGAUGUCACCCUACAGGCUAGUGUAUGGAAAAGCUUGCCACCUACCUGUGGAACUCGAGCAUCGUGCAUAUUGGGCCAUCAAGAAAUUCAAUUUUGACAUGCAGCAAGCCAGCUCAGAAAGAAGAUUACAGCUGGCAGAACUUGAAGAAAUUCGCAAUGAUGCAUACGAAAAUGCCAAGAUUUACAAGCAACGAAUGAAAGUCUUCCAUGAUAAGCAAAUUAUGAGAAAAUCGUUCACUCCAGGUCAGAAAGUGAUUUUGUUCAAUUCUCGCUUGCACCUAUUCCCAGGUAAGUUACGCUCUCGUUGGUCUGGUCCCUUUAUUGUUCAUACUGUUUUUCCACAUGGGGCAAUUGAAAUUAAGGACCCAAAGAACGGUGUCACGUUUAAAGUUAAUGGUAAAAGAUUAAAGCCAUAUCUAGAAUACCAACCACGUGGAGAAGACACCGAAAUAAAUUUGAGUGACCCACCAGAUUUGAAUUGAUUUUUUUUUCUUUCUUUUCGUUGAUUUGAUUUUGUUUUCUUUCUUUAUAUUAUUCUUUUGCUAAUUGAAAUUAUUUUUGCAUAAGUGUGUUUAUUUUACCAUUAAGUUUUCUCUUAUCAUUUUUAAUCAUGAGUCUCAUACUUAGACCGUUCCUCCUGAACAUUCUUAAACCACUUCAACGUGUCAAAACUCAUCUCAAAAGGCAGAUUCAAUUUUGUAAAACACAACGCAUUUGGGCUCUACAACCACCAGAGUUAGUAGCCUAUGUUGAGGGUUUAGAACGCCAACUCAGAGACAUUGAGAGAAGUGUUUACGACAUCCAGUUGGAGCUUGAGGUAAAUUCAAUAAGAGGACGAUUUUAAUUUUCUUUGUGUGUUUUAAUUUGUUUUUCUAUUUGUGUGCUUUAGUUUGUUACCCCGGUGAAGUGGCGGAUAACGGUACUCCAUGACAAUCAAGUCGGUUACUUCAGUUUCCCAUAAUAACUGAUAUUCUGAGGCGAAGGUAUGGACAGAAACGAGAUUCUAGCGAAACUUCACAAGCGAUUCCCUUCACUUCCUCAGAAUGUCCUCCUUACAAUCUAUAAAGCUCGGUCCGAACGCAUGCGAUUACUCAUGAGGAAUAACAUACCUGCUGACAUCCGUUGGUUAAUCGAAGUUAAAGUACGAUCGGCAGGUGAGUUACCUCCAAAAUUUAUUGCAUACAUGCCUGGUUGUGGUAAAGGAAAUUAUGCAAGAAAACGACGAGCUCGAAGAAUUUCUGUUGCUUGUCAUAAGUGUGCCAGAAUGAGUUGCAAUAAAAACCCAUGUUCUUUAGGAAUGAUGUCUGAUAACAGGGAAGAUAAGAUUCAAUUCAUUAGGGAUGGCUUGAAUAAGGAGUCAUUGGAUGAUAUCCUUUUGUCUCUUGAAACGCAUCCCAGUGGAUAUGUGCAAGGAGCGAUUCUCCAGUUAUGGCCAUUAUUCCAGAAAGAGCAUGCACGAUAUAGUCUCGGGAAUCUGACUAUAAACGACCCUGUUUGCCAGUUUAUAAGAAAACUGGAUAGGAAGCCUAUCCUCGACCCAUAGAGGGAGUUCAAGCCGUUUCUGGACGUAAAACCAGAGGAAGAUGUGAGCCACAGUCGCAACUACCUGUAAAUAUCCUUUUACUUUAUUAUUAUUUUAUUUCACUAUUGUCUUAUUGUUUGCAUUAUUGUCUUUAAUAAUUUUAUUACUGUUUGCUUUUUCCUUAUUACUGUUUGCUUUUCCCUUUUUACUGUUUCCUUUUUGACUCGCGAGCCACGUGCUUUACGCGUUAUUUGACAUGGACAUGUGACCUCAUACACAACUAUGACCCACUGUCACCAAGACUCUUAAAUGUGAUUUUCUUUGUCAAGCACUCACAAAUUAUUUUUGCGAAGUAUCACAACGGCAGCUACUCCCAAUAGACAAUUCAAGAACAUUUGUGUGCUUUCUGGAUUUACAUAUGGCAAACAUAAAGAGUUCGUUGAGGCAGCCAUAGAUCUUGGUCGAAGCAUAGCAGCGAGAAAAUUACACUUGGUGUAUGGAGGAGGUAAUCGAGGGUUAUCAAAAAUGGUCUCAGAAGCAGCUUUUAUCAGAGGAAGUCAAGUGUUAGGCAUCAUCCCAAGAGUCUUAAAACCAUUGGGCAGUUCGUCUGACUCAUCAACUGGAGAAGAGUUAGUCGUCUCAGGUAUGCAGGAAAGAAUAACUGAAAUGCUUAAUCAUGCUGAUGCUUUUAUUUUCCUUCCAGGAGAUCUUGCAACACUAGAGGCACUUAUCACGCUAGCAUCUUGGGCCCAUCUCCACAUCCACCAGAAACCCAUCGGUUUGUUAAAUGUCAAUAACUUUUAUGAUGGCUUUAUCGCAUUUCUUAACCAUGCAAUAAAAAACUAUUUCAUUCCCGCUAAUGUGAAAAAACUUUUUAUUUGUGCUCACACUGCUAAUGAGAUACUUGAUCUGUUACAAGCUUAUAGACCGGAGCCAGACCCCUGGACCUUUGUGUUGGAGCGUCCAAAUAAUGAUGGUAACAGUAGCAGCAGUAAGAAAUACAAAUUAGAUUUAACUCUCCGCCUGUAAAUAUUUUCUUCUGUGUUGCACCACCCAGGUGAUGUCUUCUAAACUCUACUUCUUUCCUUUCAAACAUUGAGGACAAUGUUUCGUUCUGGUUGGGGGGAGGGAAUAGUCGACAAUUGUGGAAUUUUGGUUAAGUUUUUACUAAUUUUUUGUUGUAGAAACUAACUGUUGCUAACUUUUUAUGUUGAAGAUGGCUGAAUAUGAAGUGUAGUGACUCUAGAAACGCAUCUUCAUCGUUUAUAAAAAAAAAAAAAAUUCAGACAUUUUCUUUUUUCUUUAUUAUGUGUUUAUGUUUAUUUUUCUUCUUUUUAAUUUCUCCUCUAUAAAUAUACAUUUUCCAACUUUUGAGUCGAAGAUGGCUGAAUAUGGAGUGUAGUUCCUCUAGAAACGCAUCUUCUUUAAAAAAAAAAAUUAUUUUCGUUUUCUAUCAUUUUACGUGUAACUUUUCUAAUUAGUUUUUAUGCAUCAUUUUCACAUUUCUGCAUGCAUAUUUUCCUUUCAUGUUUAGAAUAGGUUGGGGGGUAGAAUGAUGUUUAAAAAAAAAAAAUGUGUGAUUUGUUUUAACAUUGGAUGACAUGAUUAAUUUCAAAUUUUAGUAUUUGUAUUAUCUUUGGUCUUAAGUGAUGUUACGCUAUGUUUGCUACUUUACAUGUUGAUGUCGGAGACAAAUGUGAGUUGCUUGAAGGAAUGAACAUGUCAUAAUAAGUACCAAGUGAGUUUUUGAGCCUAUUAUUUUUCUUGGAGAAUAACCCUUUUGCCCACUCUUUAUACAGCUUAGCAGUUUAUUAUUUUACACACGAUCUCUAAAUUACUUUUGAGUUAACCCUUAAAAAAAAAAUUGUAAAAUAAAAAAAAAGAAAAAAGAGUGUGUUGCUACAUUUGGAGGCCCAUCUAACUAGUAGAUAUGGAAGAUUAUUUAGAGCCCUAAAAGACGAUGGAAAGGCCAUCUUUGAUCCGUUUGAGCCUUUCUAGCCAUCCCUUUUAUCAAAUAUCCAUAGUUAACCCUUUUGAGCCUUUAAAAAAAUAAAAAAUAAAAAAUAAAAAAAAAACCUUUUUCUUUGUCAACUUAUCAUCUUGACCCACUCCGAUUUGGAGUAUUACCCAAUGUCUUAUAAGUUCCAUCACCUAUAUAUGUUUGAGAAAAUGUAAAUAAUUAUGUUGUUCAGUAAAGUUAUGCAAAAAAAAAAACAAACAAACAAAACAAAAGUUGUUGUUUCAAAAGAAAAAAAAAUAAAAAUAAUAGGUGAAAUCUACCUUGCAACUUCCCAAAAAAAAAAAAAUUCUCUGCAUUUUUCUCAAACAUACACUUUGUUUUCCUUAUUUUCCUUCUUUGUUAGCCAUGUCCCUAGCCUACGUUACGUCCUAAUAAAAGUCCUUCUUGAUUUUAGGGAACUAUAGUUUGAAGUAGAAGCUAGUUAUAUGGGCUAAAAAGAUGUCGUGAUGCAUAAUAAUAAAAAAAAAGAGAUAAAUAAAUUGGGUUGACUAGUAUUUUUGUUUGACUUGAGAUCGUAUUAUUUCUAAGCUGAGGGCAUAUUUAUUUCAUCUUGGUGAGAGCAUGUGAUAUCACUUCUUUAUUAUUUUCUCUCUCAAUUACCAUUCAUUGGAGUGACUAUUUUUAUUGGUUUUAAUUUCUUUGUGAGAGUGUCACUACUUCCAGUGAGAUUUUGGGGUUUGACAUGUCAUUCUUGAAAGUAGCUAUGACAAAGUCUGCUGGGCUGAUUCAUGUAGAUGGUUGAUAUGGGUGUGAUGUUGCUUUAGACUGGAGAUAAUGCUUAUACUCUUAUUUGAUUGCUAUCAUUAAUCUGACGAAAUAAAUACGAAUGUUUCUAUUAAAAAAAAAAACAAUAUUUUGAAUUUGAAUUUUGUUUUCACUUUAUUUGCUAGGGACUAGCAAUAAGCUGGUUGGGGGGUGUGUUGAGUGUUAGAAAAUGCAUAUUUAUAAAGGAGAAAACCGUCAUUUUACAUUUCAAGUCUUACUAACAACCCUUACUUUUAUGUAUUUAACCUUCUUGUGAUUUAAUUACAUGUGUUUUAUUUUAAUUAAGUAUUUUAUGUAUUUUAGGGGCAUUAUAGUCAUUUCACAAUAAAGGAGAGAUCAGACGGCAAAACGAACAUCACUUUUGAACUCAGGACAGUCGAAAACCUUAGGAGGAGCAUAAAAGGAAAAAUGGCACUAUUCAUAUGUACGGUACUAUUCACGUGUACGGUACUAACUACGUUACUGUUCACAACACUGUUCACAUAGACGGAUCGAUGACGUGGCAUUGACCGAUGAUGUGGCAUUGACUGAUGAGGUGUCACGAUCCUGUUGGGCUAAAAUUCUUAUGUACUGUUGAUGGUGACGUGGCAGCAUAUCAGUGGAUGAAAAAUCUCGCGUACGGUACAUGCAUCACACAGGAUUAUUUUCAACCAAACCGCGUUACUGUUCAUCCGAGUCAAACCGCGUUACUGUUCAUCCGAGUCAAACCGCGUUACUGUUCAUCCGAGUCAAACCGCGUUACUGUUCAUCCGCGUUGUCAAACCGCGUUGACAAUUAUUAAAGUUUAAAAUAUUAAAAUACCAAAUUGUUUACCAGCCACACUUCUAUAUAUUAUAGCACAUGCAAAAGUCUUACUGGUCAACAUAAAUUAUUGUCGCAAUAAUGAUUUAAGACCAAAACCUUUACCGCAAGUGGAUGAAGGAUUUGAUCAAAAUGUAUGUUUAUUCGGGGAAUUCUAAAAAUUUAAAGAAAGAAGACAAGGAAGAAAGUGAGAUGUUUUAUAUUUUAUUUUUGGUUUACCUGAAGACGAAGGAUUCGAUUAAAAAAUUAUGGUUGUGGAUCAAAAUUGGUGGUGGAUUUUGAGAUAAAGAAUUUGAGUUUACUGGUUUUGAUAUUUUUGUUAUUCUAAUUUAUUGUAUUAAUUUAUGAUGGUGCGCACAAAGGCGUAUGAUAAUCCUUUUACUUAAUUUUUAUCAAAUAUUUUAAUAGAGUUAAUAAGAAAAUAAAAGAGGUGAUACAAAUUAUAAAUAAUGAAUGAGAAAUUAUACAAAUUAAAAUUAUUAGAAUAUUUUUACUAAUGAGUAAAUCUUUGAGUGAACCAUUGAUAAUAGAGCUGCGGGCUUUAUGGUAUGUGGAAUCGGAUUAUUGGACCAAUUAAAUAAAUUAAUAACACAUCUAAGCAUGACAAACUAUUAAAUAUUAAAAAGAAUUAAAAUACUAUCAUAAUUGCUGAGAAUAUGAAAGGAAGUAUAAAUAAAUAAAUGAUAUAAGAAGAAAGAAAAGAUAGAUUUUAUAAGAGAUUUCGGAAUGAAUCACAAGUUAAUUUCAAGGCCCUAUUUAUAAAAUCCAUGAGCCAAUAUAAGAAUUGCCACAGUUAAUAUCGCACAUGCAUAAAUACAAACUUUGCCACUCAUGGAUUUAUCCAAAAAUCAUCCUUGAUCUCCCGUGACUAAACAUGUAUGCAUAUGCUUUACUCAUCUCCAAUUUGGUAUUAAGGUGCCAUACUUUUUGAAUUACGGUUAUUGCAAAAAUAAAAAUUGUAGGUAUAAAAUAAAAACUAACAGUAUGUAGUAAAUAUAGUUUUUAAAUAAUAAUUUUAAUAAAAUUAAUAAAGAUAUAAUAAUUUUUUUAUUUUAUAAAUAUAAAAUUAAAUUAAAUUAAUUUUUAAGUUGUAACAGAUAGUCUUUACUAAAUACUUUAAUACUGUAUCUUUUAAAUUACUGCUGCUUAAUCUAAAUUUCAAACAAUGCCUUACCUUAUUAACCAAUCUCGGUAAAUGGUUUGUGAGCUAUGCUAAGAUAAAGUCUGGCACCCUUGAGCUCGUCAAGCCUUAGCUUCCUCGUCUAGUAGCUUUGGUCUUCUAAUUGUUGGUAACCUAAAAAAAAUUACUCAAUAUUAAAAAUAUGAAUUAAAAUUUAGUGUUGAGUUGAGUUUUUGUUAAAUAUUAAAUUAUUGAUUAAAUUUAUUUAUUUUUAACCAAUUUAAUUCUCAGGAAAAAGGUAAUUCUCUCUAUAAAAAAUAUGAUAUCUAAAAUGAAUGAAAGAUUAUAAAUAGUUAUUUAUAAAUUAUAUAUAAUAUAACUUAACAAUACCCCUUUUAAAAUUAAUUAAUGGUGGACAGCCAGAUGUUUGUUGUGAGAUUGCACCUGCAAUAGUCGGUAUGCUUACAUAAUUGAUUGUGGAAAUAAUGAUUUAAAAAUAAUUGGGAAAUUGUCUUAUAUAGCCAUUUUCAAAAACUCAAUAUUAAAAUUAGUCAUAUAACAAAAAUUCUGACAAUAAUAACCACACACACUUUUUAUGGACUAAAUUACCCCCCAAAUCUCAUCUCUUAUUUCACUUCAACAACUAAACACAAACUCUAGAAAACUACUUUCAUUUCACUUCUCAAAUUCCCUCCAACAACUAAACACAAAACUAUUUCCAAUUUCAUAUGCAUCAAACAAUAUUUUUUAACUAGCACUGAAGACAAAAUCAAUCAAGUUAAAAAAGGGGAAAAAAAGCUCAUUAAGGUUAGUUUUUUUUUUUUUAAAUUUAGAUUGUAAGAUUAAUUAAGUUUUAUCUAUGGGUUUUGUAGAUAUUUGAAGAAACAAAUAUCUUUAUUAAUUUUUAUUACAAUGUGGGUAGAUAUUUACUUGUGUGAAUCCAAAAAUUAGAAAAAGUCCGAAAAUAUUGUAUUUUUAUGACUUGUAGAAAAAAAUCCGAUCGCGGGCGAAGGUUGUCAUCGCCCGCCCUUCUCUUGUGCUAAGCGCGGCCGAUGGAAUACAAAANNNNNNNNNNNNNNNNNNNNNNNNNNNNNNNNNNNNNNNNNNNNNNNNNNNNNNNNNNNNNNNNNNNNNNNNNNNNNNNNNNNNNNNNNNNNNNNNNNNNAGUAUCUCCCGCAAGUAGUGCGGGCGAAGGGUGCCAUCGACUGGGCGAUGCAUGCCUUCGCCCACACUUAGCCCACGAGAAGGGUGGGCAAUGGAUGACAUCGCCCGAGCGAUGCAUGCCUUUGCCGGCCCUUAGCCCACGAGAAGGGCGGGUGAUGGAUGCCAUCGCCUGGGCGAUGACAACCUUUGCUGGCGAUCGGAUUUUCUUCUACAAGUCAUAGAAAUAUAAUAUUUUCCGGACUUUUUCUAAUUCUUGGAUUCACACAAGUAAAUAUCUACCCACAUUGUAAUAAAAAUUAAUAAAGAUAUUUGUUUCUUCAAAUAUCUACAAUACCCAUAAAUAAAACUUAAUUAAUCUUACAAUCUAAAUUUUUUUAAAAAAAUAAUCUUAAUGAGCUUUUUUUCUCCUUUUUUGGCUUGAUUGACUUUGUCUUCAGUGUUAGUUAAAAAUUAUUGUUUGAUGUAUAUAAAAUCGGAAAUAAUUUUGUGUUUAGUUGUUGGAGGGAGUUUAAGAAGUGAAAUGAGAGUAGUUUUCUAAAGUUUGUGUUUAGUUGUUGUUGAAGUGAAAUAAGAGAUGAGUAUUGGGGGAUAAUUUAGUCCAUAAAAUAUGUGUAUGGUUAUUAUUAUAAGAAUUUUUAUUCUAUGACUAGUUUUGAUAUUAAGUUUUUAAAAGUUACUAUAUAAGAUAAUUUCCCGAAAUAAUUGGGUAGUUUUUAAAAAAACUGACAUCUCUGGCAUGUUUGCUGAUCCCUUUGAAAGUAACAAAGCUUUAUUCACGUGGGAUGUGCAAUUUGCAGAGAAGAUAAGAUCAAGUCUCUUGAUGUACGGCUCUUCAUAAAUUAUUUAAUUUAAUUUUUCAUUGUCUCGUCAAUGUCAUACGGGAAAAAAAAAAAAUCUUAAUGAGCUUUUUUUCCCUUUUUUUGGCUUGACUUUUUCUUCAGUGCUAGUUAAAAAUUAUUGUUUGAUGCAUAUAAAAUUAGAAAUAAUUUUGUGUUUAGUUGUUGGAGGGAGUUUGAGAAGUGAAAUGAGAGUAAUUUUCUAAAGUUUGUGUUUAAUUAUUGUUGAAGUGAAAUAAGAGAUGAGUAUUGGGGGAUAAUUUAGUCCAUAAAAUAUGUGUAUGGUUAUUAUUGUAAGAAUUUUUAUUCUACGACUAAUUUUGAUAUUAAGUUUUUAAAAGUGACUAUAUAAGAUAAUUUCCCAAAAUAAUUGGGUAGUCUUUAAAAAAACUGACAUCUCUGGCAUGUUUGCUGAUCCCUUUGAAAGUAACAAAGCUUUAUUCACGUGGGAUGUGCAAUUUGCAGAGAAGAUAAGAUCAAGUCUCUUGAUGUACGGCUCUUCAUAAAUUAUUUAAUUUAAUUUUUCAUUGUCUCGUCAACGUCAUACGGGGAAAAAAAAAAAUCUUAAUGAGCUUUUUUUCUCUUUUUUUUCUUGGUUGGCUUUGUCUUCGGUGCUAGUUAAAAAUUAUUGUUUGAUGUAUAUAAAAUCAAAAAUAAUUUUAUGUUUAGUUGUUGGAGGGAGCUUGAGAAGUGAAAUGAGAAUAAUUUUUUAGAGUUUGUGUUUAGUUAUUGUUGAAGUAAAAUAAGAGAUGAGUAUUGCGGGAUAAUUUAUUCCAUAAAAAAUAUAUAUGAUUAUUAUUAUAAAAAAUUUUAUUCUAUAACUAGUUUUGAUAUUAAAUUUUUGAAAGUGAGUGAUAAUUUCUCAGAAUAAUUAGGUAGUCUUUAAAAAAAACUGACAUCUCUGGCAUGUUAGCUGAUCCCUUUGAAAGUAACAACGCUUUAUUCACGUGGGAUGUGCAAUUUGCAGCGAAGAUAAGGUCAAGUCUCUUGAUGUACGGCUCUUCAUAAAUUAUUUAAUUUAAUUUUUCAUUGUCUCGUCAACGUCAUACGGGGAAAAAAAAAAUAAUCUUAAUGAGCUUUUUUUCUUCUUUUUUGGCUUGAUUGAUUUUAUUUUCGGUGCUAGUUAAAAAUUAUUGUUUGAUGCAUAUAAAAUUAAAAAUAAUUUUAUGUUUAGUUGUUGGAGGGAGUUUGAGAAGUGAAAUAAGAGUAAUUUUUUAGAGUUUGUGUUUAGUUGUUGUUGAAGUAAAAUAAGAGAUGAGUAUUGGGGGGUAAUUUAUUCCAUAAAAAAUGUAUAUGAUUAUUACUGUAAAAAUUUUUAUUCAAUGACUAGUUUUGAUAUUAAAUUUUUGAAAGUGAGUGAUAAUUUCUCAAAAUAAUUAGGUAGCCUUUAAAAAAACUGACAUCUCUGGCAUGCUCGCUGGUCCCUUUGAAAGUAACAACGCUUUAUUCACGUGGGAUGUGCAAUUUGCAGAGAAGAUAAGAUCAAGCCUCUUGAUGUACGGCUCUUCAUAAAUUAUUUAAUUUAAUUUUUCAUUGUCUCGUCAACGUCAUACGGGGAAAAAAAAAAAAAGAAGUUGAUAAUCUCUUCCAUCAGUGCGCGAUGCGAAUUGUUUACUAUUUUUGGAACUCACAAAAGUUAUAUAAUUUAUUGCCAAAGGUGCAAAAGUCGAGGAGGCAGAAUUAGCUAGCGUAUAUGUAUCUUGAGAGAGAAAAUGAAGGACUCCAAUUGCAGUUGUUCGUCAUUGACUUAAGGUGGAGCAAUUUUCCGUGUUGAAAUAAUCGACAAACAUAUAUUUAUUAGGGCGGCUGAACUUUUUUUGAGAUGAGAUUAUAUUAAUAUUCAUAAAGUUGAAUUAAUGACAAUGAUGUUUUUUUAUUUAUUUUUAUAUAUUACAAUAAGAAUAUUAUUAAUAUUUAUAAUUAAAAAGCAGUCGAAAAUCUCUUAAAUAAUUAUAUUAUAAUAUAACUCGAAUGUUAAUUUUCACUUAAAAUUAAAAGGGGAUUUUACCUUCACUAUUAAUAUUGGAAGUAAAUCGAUUCAACCCCAAUGUAGGGGAGCUUACUAACCCUCAUUAUACUGGAGAGUCAAAUCUUAAUAUUGACUCUGCGCUAGGACUUGAACCCAUACCCUCAAGAUUUUACCCUCACUAUUAAUAUUACAUAAAAAAAAAUUAAUGUGCAAAUGGGUUAUUAAUAAGAAAAAAAACUAAGGUGCUGAGCUUUUUAAAUGAUACCUAAAAUUAGAGCAUGAGAACUCAAGUUUGACUCAACCAUGUUUUGGCGUUAGGCAUUUAGUUUUAAUUAGUUCUUCUUAAAAUAUGAGAUAAAAAAUAUAUAUUAGAUAUAUUAUAAAAUUUAUUUAGUUAAAAUCAAUUCUUCCAACAAUCUAAAAUGUAAAAUUAUUAAAUAAAAUUCUAUUCUACUAUUGCUAAUCCAUUAAUUUUUAAUUCAAUGAUAACAUUUUCACUUAUUAUUUCUUCACUCAAAUUACAUCUUUUUUACUACUCUUUUUUUGAUUAAACUAAUUUUUCUAUUCUUCUAUUUUUUAAUGCUUUCCGAUACAUUUUUAUUUCAAAAUAGAUAAAACAAGCACACAGAAAAAAAUAAUAAUAGUAGAUGAACAAAAGAAUAUAUUGAAAAGAAAUAAUAACAAAUAAAUAACAAAACUAAUUAAGAGAAUAAUAAAAAGAUAAAAUCUGAAAUUUGAGAUGAAAUCAUAAAUUAAUUUUAUCUUUAUCUUAAUUAUUUGAGGAUUUGAGAAAUGACCAAUAACCAUGGAGAAUAGAGAAAACUAUUAGAUUUCUCUCUCUAAAGCAUCAAGAACAUAUAGUGUCAUAGUUUUUGGAGGAAAAAUUUAAUGUAUAAGUAACAAAAUGUGAGGCUUUUUAUAGAGUUUAAAAUGAAUAUAAAUUUUUUAAUUAUAACAUAUUAAUUCUAAUAAUAAAAUAAAAAAUUUGUAGGAUUGAAACUAUUAAUUUUUUAAUAGUAGGAAAAAUUUGUGGGAAAAUUUUUUUAAUUAUAACCUAUAAUAAAAUUUAUAGGUUUUGUAGGGAUUACAACUAUUAAGUAUUACAUUAAAUAGACUUUAUAGGAAUUUACUAGUUUAUUUAAGAAAAGAGUUAUAAAAUAAUAAUAAAUUAAAUGAAUAAUAAUGACUUUAUAAUUCACUUUUUCUUUUUAUGUACAAAAUAUUCGUCUUAUGUGGAUGUAGGGCUUUCAUAUAUAACACGACCCUAAAUAACCGCCCAAGUUGCCUAAUGGUCGAGCUGCUACUGUAAGGUAGUGUUUAUUUUUUGGAUUGGAUUGUGAAUUCUAAGGAGUGAGAAUCCUAGAAUUGAGAGUGUGGAGUGGGAGUGAGAGUAGGUUAUUUACUUACACUGGAAUGGAAGUAUGGAAUAGAGAUCAGAAUCCAAUUUAUGUGUUUACUUUGUCUUGAAUUGAGAGUAGAUAAUUUUAAAUUACAAUUUUAUCCUUAUUUAAAGAAUUAUAGUUUUUAAUUACAAAACUAAUAAAAAAUAUAUUUAAUGAAUAAUAUUUAUUUUAUUAUAUUUGUAAAUUUAUUAUAAUUAUUAAUAUUCUUAAUUAUGAACAAUAAAUUAUUAAUUUUAAUAUAAAAUGAAACCUUAUUUUAUUUUAUUUAAUAUAAUUAUAUUAAAUUUAUUAUUAUAUAAAAUAAUAAUAUUAUAUUUAUUAAUUCUCUAUUAAUAUAAUAAUAUUAUUUUAAAAUAAUUUUAAUUUAAAAUCAAUGUAAAUUAUUAUUUAGUUAAAUAUAAUAUUAUUAUUUAAAUAAAUAUAAUAAUAUUAUUUAAAUAAAUAUAAUAUUAUUUAUUUUAUUUUAUUAAUUAUAAAAUAUUAAAUUAAAUUAAAAAAAUAAAAUGAUAAAAAAGGGAGAGGUGGGACUUCUCACUCUAAAAAAGUGAGAUUUACGGAGUGAGAUUCUCACUCCCUUCUCAUUUAAAAGAAAUAAACACUGGUAUGGAAGGAAUUCACGCUCCUCACCCACUCCCGUAAGUAAAGACAGCAUAAACACAGCAUAAGAGUAGUGGUAUAAAAGAUUCAAAAACACUAAGCUAAGAGCAAAGCAAAGCAGGAGCAAGAAAUUAAACGCGCAAAUGGGUUCUUUCACUAAGAGCAAAUCAAAAGUGACCAAUGAAGAGGAAGAGGUAUAUUCACAUGCCAUGGUACUGGGAAGUGCAAUAGUGCUACCCGCGGUUUUUCAAGCAGUAGUAAAUCUUGAUGUUCUUGAUAUCAUAAACAAAGCUGGUCCUGGUGCUGAGCUUUCUGCUUCAGAGAUUGCUUCUCAAAUUCCCACCAAAAAUCCUGAGGGUGCUGCCAAGAUGUUGGAUCGGGUUCUCGGGCUUCUGGUGAGCUUCAAUAUCCUUUGUUGCUCUUUCAGUACUCAUGGAGUAAGGCUCUACAGUCUCGCUCCUGUCGCUAAAUACUAUGUGAGUGAUCAAAACGGCGUCUCAAUGCGUCCCUAUAUGAACUUGUCUCUUGACAAAGUAAUGAUGCCUGGCUGGUAUGUUCGCUCUUCUUUUACUUUUCUAUUUUUUUUUGUUUUGUUAAAUAAUACAUUAAACUCCCUCUUGGAAUUUAAUUUUAUCAUUUUAAUUCUCCUUUAUCGUAAAUUUUUGUAAUAUCUCAUUUUAUUUUUUAUGUUAGAAUAUGAGACAGUAAAAGAAAGAAAAAAAACACGGUUAAAGAAUAAAUAUGACUUUUAUAUAUACAAACCUAUUAUUUGAGUCCUCUACAUAAAUUAAAAUUGGUUAAUUUAUUUAUUGAUUAAAAUAUUACAUGCUAAUGGCAUACUUUUUUUUUUCACAAUUGGAAUAUCAUGGAUGAAAUGGGGUACUAAAAAAUCUAUCAUAAAAAACACGGUUAAAGAAUAAAUAUGACUUUUAUAUAUACAAACCUAUUAUUUGAGUCCACUACAUAAAUUAAAAUUGGUUAAUUUAUUUAUUGAUUAAAAUAUUACAUGCUAAUGGCAUACUUUUUUUUUUUCACAAUUGGAAUAUCAUGGAUGAAAUGGGGUACUAAAAAAUCUAUCAUAAAUUAAAGUGAUAGAAAUAAAUUACAAGAGGGAUUAAGUACGGUCACUCUCCCUUCUAGUUUGAUCCGUUUUCAUUCCAUGAAGCUUCUAAAUGUGUGUUCUUAUUUGGAAAUUUUAGGUUCCAAUUGAAAGACCAAAUUCUUGAAGGAGAACUUUCGUAUAAUAAAGCCCUCGGAAUGGAUUUCUACGAUUAUCUGGGCACCGACUCCAGGUUCAAUGAAGUUUUCAACAAUGGAAUGAUCGGCCAGACUUCUUUUGUAAUCAAUAAGAUUGUAGAAUCCUACAAAGGCUUUCAGAAUAUUACGCGCCUUGUUGACGUUGGCGGUGGUUUAGGAAUCACCCUUGCGACCAUAAUUUCCAAAUACCCUCAUAUUAAGGGUAUUAAUUUUGACGUACCUCAUGUUAUAAAAGAUGCCUCAUCUUAUCCCGGUAUGUUUUAAUUUAUUGUCUACUACCAUGAUGUUAAUAUUUCUAUUUUUGUCAAAAACUUAUCUAAUCCUGUAUUUUUGCUGAUUAGUUGAUACUACACUAACAAAAUGGGUCUAUUAAUUUAUAUUUCAGGCAUGGAACAUGUUGGCGGAGAUAUGUACCAAAAAAUUCCAGAGGGGGAUGCCAUUUUAAUGAAGGUUAAUCAUAUUUUUAUUUAUCAAUCGCAUGCAUGCAUAAUUACUUGAAUUAUAUCAUUAAUGAGUACUCAGCAUGGGGCUACUAAGCAAGUAACAUGCAAGUUUAUCUUUCAAUUUUACAGUGGAUGCUUCAUAAUUUUGAUGAUGAGAAUUGCAUAAAGAUACUGAGGAAUUGUUACAAAGCUCUUCCAAAUGAUGGAAAGGUACUUGUUAUUAACUCAACGUUGCCAGAAGUGCCUGACAGUACCGAGGCUUCAAGGGAUUCCUUCAUUUUAGAUGCAAUUUUUUUAAUCCAAAUUCCUCAUGGAAGGGAGCGGACCAAAAAGGAGUUCACUGCAUUGGCAAUCGAAGCUGGAUUUAAGGGUAUCAACUUUGAAUGUAACGUUUGCAAUUCCUAUGUCAUGGAAUUCUACAAGUAACUUUGAAGCUAGAUUGCUUCAUUCUUUCUUUAUCAGAAAGAUGCAUCUUCUCAAUUUUAAUUUGGAGUGUCGAUACUCCAUUUUCUUUUCUGUAACUUUCUGUUUUGUUUGGCCUUUAUGGCUCGCGGGAACUUCUUAUGUAAUGCUUUUGUGUGUUCAAUAAUAUAAGUCCUGUUUGUGUUUGGUAUAGAGGUGCUAGUAUCUUAAAAGUUAUAAUUGCUAUGAAUAAAAAAUUAUAAUUAUAAUUAUAAAAUAAAAGUUAAUAAUAUGUAAUAAAUAUAAAUUUUAAAUAAUAAUUUUAAUUAAAAGUUACAACUAUUAUGGAUAAAAAGUUAUAAUUAUAAAAUAAAAAUUAAUAAGAUGUAAUAAAUAUAAAUUUUAAAUAAUAAUUUUAAUAAAAUUAUUAAAUAUAUAAUAAAUUUUUUAUUAUACAAACGUAAAAUUAUAUUAAUAUAUCUUUUAAGUUAUAAGAGUGAAUGUUUAUUAAAUAUUUUAGUACUGUAAUUUAAAAAUUAUAGUUGUUCAAUUUCAAUUCCAAACGCAUCCAUAAUCUGCUUGAGCUUCUUCGAGAGAUAGAUUUUAAAAAUAAAUGAUUUGAUUUUAUAUCACAAAACCAAAAAUAGAAAGAUACAUUUUAAACUUAGAUACGUUUUGAACUGAGUAUAUGGUCAGGUUACAGUGUAAUUGUGGUACUGUGUUAUAGUUGCACUAGUCGUUGGAUCCACUCAAAUAAGUGGGAUUCACUUAAAUAAGUGAAAAUCUAACGGUUAGGUGCAAUUGUGGCACGGUACCAUAGUUGCACCAUAAUUUUAUCUAUGAGUAUAACAUAAAUUUUGUUAAAAAGAGAGUAUUUGCUCUUACCGGUUUCCUUUUCUCUUUGUAUUUUACGGUCUAGCUAUUUUUCCAUGGGAUAAGUAACCUCGUGAUUUUAUCUUGGGAGCUGUUACCUUACGUUUACCGUAAGGUACAGCCCCCUCACACAGCUGGAUCUUAUUGGAAUUCAUUUCUCAGCUGUGUGAGGGGGCUGUACUUUACGUUAAAUGUAAGGUAGGCCAACCCUUUUGUCUUUGUUCUAAUCUUGUCGUUAGAUUAUAAGGGCGAUUUUGUCUUGUUCUAAUCCUGUCCUUAGAUUGUAGGGCAAUCCAACAACUACAAACACAAAGGGCAAUGCCAUUCGGCUUCUGAGUAGACUUGGCAAAAUCCGGGUUCGGUCCGGGUUUUGGUGUUGCCCGGGACCGGACCGGAUGAGAGAAAUGCAAGCCCGGACCCGGGUUAAAACCCGGUUUUUCCGGGUGCGGUCCGGGCUUGAGCCCAGCACCUUCCGGGUCCGGGUUUUGAUCCGGGUUUUUAAAACCCGCAUGUGAUAAUUUCAAUUUUUUUUCAAUUUUUUUCUUUAAUUUUUUUUUUCAUUUCUCUAACAAUGCAAAUUUUAAAAAAGAAAAUAAUCAAAUAAACUCAUUCAAUCUCAAACUUUAAAAAAGAAAAUAGUCAAAUACAAAUAUAUAACACAUUAACAAUGCAAAUUUUGCACAAAUGAUAAAUAAAAAUUAUUUCAAUCUACUUUCUAAUACCUAAAUUCAUCUAAUUUCUAACUUAAACUCAUUCAAUCUAUAUAUAAAAUAAAUAAAUUAAAUUCAACAACACAAUAAAUUUAAAUAACAUCUAACAUAUCAUAAAUUCAUAAUUAUAUAUUUAUAUAUAAUAUAUUUAUUUUUUAAAUUUAUUAAAAAACCGGGUCCGGUCCGGGUUUUUUGUGUUGAACCCGGACCCGGGCCCGGAAAUGUCCGGGUUUGAGAAUUUCAAACCCGGAUCCGGUUUUUAUAUGCAUGCGGUCCGGGUUUUGCCCGGACCGGAUUGGUCGGGUCCGGGCCGGGUCCGGUCCGGGCGGGCUUUUUUGACACCCCUACUUCUGAGACUUAGGUUUUGUCUGAAUCUAGAGUAACUCUAAAAAUUGGGAGGGUUUUUGUUGUGUCGUGUGGUUUACCAACGAUGUCCGGGAAUUGAAAAACGGCUAUAACGAAAUCAUUCGCCAGUGAAACCACCUCUCAAGUCUGUAAAUAGCCAAACCAAUCUUCCCGUACCUAUCAUGAACAUCUCCUAGAUUUGUCUCACAUCUUUCAAUUUUCUUUUUCUUUUCUUUUCUCCGGUUGUGUAGUUGUCGAUGGAAAAACCUUUAUAAAGAUUGAAUUUUUCAAAACAAAAAUGUUGAAGAUAAUCACACAAACUAAGGAAGUAAAUAAUGUACAGUUGCUUAGUUUAUAUUUUUAUUUAAGUUGUUAUAAAUAAAAUAAAUAAAGAAAAAUUUUACACUAAAACAAAGUACUUUAAGUACCUUGUUAAUAGUUAGUUUAGUAUUGAUGAGUUUUUGUGAAUUGAUUACCUUAUUAAAAGAGCAUAUAUAUAAACUUUAUUAAAGUGUAAGAAAGUUAUUAACCCAUACAGUUUAAUAGUUUUAUGGUCAUUACACUAUUAAAUCGCACGGAUUGGAAUUUAAUGUCUAUAUGCUUAAAACUUUUAAGUUACUACAUUAAUGGGGAUUUGAUGUGGGACUUUACAAAAGCAAAGUGAUGAAGUCCCUACAAUUUAUGACACCCCUCUUGAAUUCACCACUUUAAUUACAUAAACGUUUCAUGAUAACAAGUGGGACUAAGUGAGCUUCAAUAUUAUCUCGUUAAAACCUUUUUAGUAAAAGCUAAUUGUGUAUCGAUCUGAUGAUUUAUUGAGACGACACAUGUUUAAUACUAUGGACUAAUUUCUCAGAUGUUAAUAAGCAAAGCUUUAGUAAAAAGAUUAGAAAAAUUAUUUGUGGAGCGUAUUUGUUUUGACAUCAAUUUUUUUUGUCUUACUAGAGCCUAUGAGUGUAGAAAAACUUUCAUAAGAUAUGCUUAGUUCUAUCACCCUUGAUGUAUCCUCCUCUAAUUUGAGCAAUACAAGCAUAAUUGUUUUUAUAUAUAAUUGUUAGAAUAUCAAUUACAAAAGUCAAAUUGCAUGUGCUCAGGAUAUGAUGGAUAAUAGACUGCAACCAAAUACACUCUCUACUCGUUUCAUAUAAUGCAAGGAUCUUUGAGUGAUUAGCGGAAGUGGCAAUGAAAGUCUACUUAGUAAAUCACCAUGAAAUUGUCGUGCCAUUGUAAGUGAAAACAUAUCCUAUUUGUGACGGGCUUUGUGAGGAUCAAGGAGGUAGCAUGUGUCUGCAUAACCAAUAAGAUCAGGAUUCUUCGUUGGCUCACUUGAAUAAGAUAACCUGAAGCCUGUUGUCCACGAAGGUAUCAGAAGAUGUAUUGGUACAUUAAGCUAGAGACAAUAAAGCACCAAUUGCAUUUAGAUAUUGUACUUAUAGAUCAAGUAUCUCUUCAUCAUUCUCUUUAGGACGAAAUGAAUCAUUUUUAGGAUUCAGAGAUUGAACAACCAUAAGAGCGCUUAAUGGAUGAGCAUUAUCCAUAUUGAAUGCUUUAAGAUUUUUUCAACAUAAGUAGAUUGAUAAAUAUGCAUUCCGUUUGUUUUACACUCGAUCUGUAGGCCGAGACAAUUUUUUUCCCCAAAAACUUUCAUUUCAAAUUUUCUCUUUAAAUAUUCAGCAAUUUUUAAAAUCUCUUUGGGAGUUGCAAUUAGGUUCAUGUCAUAAACAUAAACUGCUACAUUUACAAAUCCAGAUUAGAAUUUUCUCGCAUAGCCAAAUAAGAUUAUUUUUAUAUAAUUCUUUAAUCAAAUAUUCACCUAGAAGAUUACAUUACACGCGCCUAGAUUGAUUCAAUCCAUAUAAGGACUGUAGAAACUUGAUUGAAUACAGAUUAUCAUUUUUUGAUUUAUAUGCUUCAAACAUUUUGAAUCCUUCAAGGAUUUUCAUGUAAAUAUUAGUGUCCAGUGAUGCAUGCCAAGUCUUUCUGAGACUAUUAAAUUAAAAAUUGAAACGUAAGAAUAUCCAUUACCCAAGAAUAUGUAUCCUCAUAAUCAAUACCAGGUAUCUGUGAGAAAUCUCGUGUAACUAGUUGCGCUUUAUAUUUGUGAUUUCAUUAUGUUCAUUUGUUUCCUUACGGAUGCUCAUUUGUAUCCAAUACGUUUGUCAUCUUUAGGCGUCUGAACUACAGCUCUAAAAACUUCAUGUUUAACUAGAGAAGUCAAUUCUGCUUGGAUUUCUUAUUUCUAUUAGGGCCAAUCAUGCCCUUGUUUAAUUCAUUGACAAUUUAAGGCUCAAAAUCAUUUUUAAUUUUAGUAGCUGUUGUGAAUGAAAAUACAUUGUCGAUGUCUAUUUCAUUACAAUCACACAAUUCCCUCAUAUAAGAAUAAUUUGUAAACUUUUUCCCAUUUUGUGUUUCAUACCCCUUCACGGGUUACUAUCUCUUUAAGGACUUGUGUUUCUUCAGGGACCAUCAGUUCAUCUAGAACUGAUGAUUCAAAUAAUAUGGGUACAUUUAUAGCUUGAACAUUAUUUCAAGAUGAUCUUAAUCAUUUAUUCUCCUCUUCCUAGGAACAUUGUCUUUGAAACUAAGUGGUCUACCACAUUUUCGACAUGUAACAUAUAACUCAUUAGCUACUUGUAUGCUUGAUUGUUCAACAUGAACAAUUGCUCAGGUUGGUGUAUUAGCAAUUGGAAUAUUGGAAUAUGUGACUUGUUUACUUUUACUAAAUUGAUUUACAAUUUGCUGUAAAAGUACUAUCCUUCUUACUUUAUUUCAUAUUGAUUGGUAUGAGGAUCUAAAUGAGAUAAAGUGAAAACUUUUCAAGAAAGUUUAUACCUUACUUUAAGAGGUUUUCCAUCCCUUAAUGAUGAAAAAUUGUCUUAUUAAAAUGACAACCCGCAAAAUGUGUGGUAAAAAGAUAACUUGUUAAGGGUUCAAGAUAUCUGAUAAUUAAAAGUGAGUUAAAACCGACAUAAAUCCCCAAACGACAUUGAGUUCUCAUAUUUGUUUGCUAAGGGUGUGAUACAGGAGCAUGAACAUCAUACGCAAAAGUGCGUAAAUGGUAACUGUCAAGUUCUUGACCAAGUAUAAGUUGUAAUGGAGAAUAUCAAUAAUAAACUGUGGUUGUAAGAUGAACUAAUGUCGCAACAUGUAAAAUAACACGACCCUAUAUAACUAUUGAUAAUUUUAUACAUAUAAGUAAAAUUUUUACAAUUAUCUGCAAUUACUUAAUCAAUGAUUCUACCAAUCCAUUUUAUGUAUGAACACAGGGAAUAGAAUGUUCAACAUUGAUCCCAAUUGAUGUACAAUAGUUAUCAAAUGUUUUAGAUGUAAACUUACUAGCAUUAUCUAAACAUAUGGUUUUAAUUUGAUGAUCUAAAAAUUGUGCUCUUAAUCUUAUAAUUUGGGCAAACAUUCUUGCAAAUGUAACGUUGCUUGUGGACAAUAAAUAAACAUGUGAUCAUUGUGCAGAUGUAUCAAUCAAAACUAUGAAGUAACGAAAUGGUCUACUAGGUGGAUGAAUCGGUCCACACAUACCUCCUUGGACACUUCAUAAAAGCAAUAGAGAUUCAUGAUUAACCUUACAAGUGGAUGGUCUAAUAACAAAUUUUCCUUGUAAGUAAGCGGUACCAACAGUCUCAUUAGACAAUAGAAUCUUCUGGUUCUUUAAUGGAUAUCUUUGAGAAUUUUCAAUAAUUCUACGCAUCAUUGUAGAUCCUUGGUGUGCAAGGCGAUCACGCCACAAUAUAAGUAUUUUUGGAUUUGUAAAGUUUUGGUUCAUUACUAAGUAGCUCUCAAUUGUGUUUAUAAUUGCGUAAUACAAUCCUAAUGAGAAUGCUAAAAGCUUUUCUAAUAUGCAUUUCUUCCCUCAAAUAUUUUUAAUAAUGUACAAAUAUUCCACAUUAUUUUCAUUUAAAAUCUAAUAUGAUAUCUAUUUUGGUAGAUAUAUUUAAAGCUUAGCAGAUUUCUUUUGGAUCUUGUUGAAAAUUAAGCAUUUUGUAUUGUUAGUUUUGUUCCACUUGCUAACAAGAUUUUAGCUUUACCAGAGCCUUCAAUUAGGUCUGCAGGACUAGAUAUAAUGUGCAUGGUUGCAUUGUCAACCAAGCAUAUAUCUCCAACUUUCAUUUCCAAAAUAGAUUAUUUAUUUCCAAAAUCUAUAACCUUACAUUAAACAAAAGUUCAUGCACUCAUUAGCCAUCAGGGUUAGAUAUGAACAUUAAGUACAUCUGAUGAAAAUAUAAAAAGUAUAAAUGUUAACAUAUUAGAAACUUAAUGAUUAUAGCAUAACAACGGGAGCUUAAUUAGUGUAGACAUUUCCAUCAGCAAUUAAGUGAUUGAUUUUCCUCUUGUGCCCUUGAAGAAAUUGGAGACAUCAAGACGAGUCAAAUCAUUCGAAUCUGAGUCAUCGAAUAAAUUAGUCUUAAUCUUUCUUUUGCCUUUCUUGGAUGCUUGGUACAGGUUUAUAAAAAUAUUUAUCUGUACGGUAGGUAUGUGACCAAUGUCCUUUUCCUCUACAUCGAUAACAAAUUUCGUCAUUAUCAUUUGAAGCCCUAUUAUCCAAAUCUUACAUUGAAGCGUAUGAAUUUUUAGAGAGAAUUGCUAACAAUAAUUACCAGUGGCCAUCAACUAGACAAAUUGUAGCAAGAGGAGCAGCAUAGGUACAUAAUAUAGAUGCAAUUACAACAUUGUUAGCUCAAGUAACAUCAUUGACUAAUAUGGUAAAAGCCAUGACUUCUACUCUUGCAGCAGUAAAGCAAGUUGCUGAACUAUCUUGUGUGUAUUAUGGUGAGGAGCAUGUAUUUGACAAUUGUCCAAGAAAUCCAGCAUCAGUAAACUAUGUGGGCAAUUUCAACCGACAACCCCAGAACAACCCAUAUUCAAAUACUUACAACCUUGGAUGGAAGCAACACCCAAAUUUCUCAUGGAGCAAUCAAAAUCAGUAUGCUCCAGCACCCAGUGGACAGAACAGACAUGCUCAGCCACCUAGUUUUCAUCACUAGAAUCAAGGGCAAAAACACACUAGCCAUGAUCAAAUCACCUCAUUAGAAACACUUAUUAAGGAUUAUAUCAUGAAGAAUGAAGCAAUUGUGCAAAGUCAAACUGUAUCUUUGAGAAACCUGAAAAACCAAAUUGGAUAGCUUGCCACAGUAAUGAGUAGCAUAUCUCAGGAAAGUUUACCCAACAAUACAAAAGAUCCAAGAAGAGAUGGUAAAGAACACUGUAAAGUAAUCAACUUAAGAUCUAGGAAGAAUGUUGAUAUUCAUGUUGAUGUGACUUAGAACUUAACUCCUCACAAGAACCACCUCAAGAUGAAAAGAUGUUACAGCAACCUAGCCAUCAAAAUACUGGUACUAGUGGUCAAGCUGCAGUAACUUUGGAAGGAAAUCACCCAAUAACUACUGAAGAAGAUGUUGCAACACCAGUGAUGACAACUUACAAUAAAUCAAAGGAGUAAAGAUUGGUACCUCCUGAAGCUGUACAACAAUUUAGGCAUCCGUCUCCUUUCCUACAGAGAUUCCAGAAACAAAAACAAGACAAACAAUUUAGCAAAUUCCUGGAAGUGUUGAAGUAAUUACACAUCGACAUACCUUUUGUGGAAGCAUUGGAACAAAUGCCUAAUUAUGUGAAAUUUUUAAAAGAUAUUUUGGCUAAAAAAAGAAGGUUAGGAGAAUUUAAAACUGUUGCUUUAAUACAGGAAUGCAGUCACAUGCUUCAGAGUAAGAUUCUUCAAAAAUUGAAGGAUCUAGGAAGCUUCACAAUACCAUGUUCAAUUGAAACUAGGUACAAUGGCAGAGCACUCUGUGACUUGAGAGCCAGUAUUAAUCUAAUGCCAUUAUUUGUAUUUAAGCAAUUGGGAGUAAGAGAGUGCAGGCCAACAACAGUCACUCUGCAAUUGACUGACAAAUCUCAUGCAUACCCUGAAGGAAAGAUUGAAGAUGUAUUGGUAAAGGUUGACAAAUUCAUUUUUCCAGUGGAUUUCAUUGUACUAGACUUUGAGGUUGAUAAAGAGGUACCAAUUAUACUUGGAAGACCUUUCCUGACAACCGGGAAGACUCUAAUAGAUGUGCAGAAAAGAGAGCUAACCAUGAGGGUGAAUGACCAACAAGUCACCUUCAAUGUAUUAGAAGCUAUGAAGAGUCCUGAUGAGACAGAAGAUUGCAAUUUUUUGAGUGUUGUGGACCUUACUGUAGUAGACAGAAUAAAUAAAUGCUACAGUAAAGAGAUUAUCAAAGCUGCCACCUUUGAAAGCUUUGAAAAAGAAGAUGUUGCAGCAAACUAGAUAGAUUGGAUAGGAAAAAGGCAAUCUAACAGAUAUAGCAGAUUUAUUGAACCUCUAAAUCUUUCAUACAGGAAAGUAAAGACAACUUUAUCAUCUAUUGAAUCACCUCCUACUCUUGAAUUAAAAUUGUUACCUUCACAUUUAAAAUAUGCUUAUCUUGGUUAGAAUAAUACACUUCCUGUAAUCAUUUCAUCUUCUUUGGAUGUAGAUCAAGAAAAAAGUCUGGCAGAUGUGCUUGGGAAAUACGAAAAAACAAUUGGAUGGACUAUGACAGACAUUAAAGGGAUCAGCCCGUCCAUAUGCAUGCAUAAAAUUCCGUUAGAGGACUGCUACAACAAUUCAGUAGAGCAUCCGAGAAGGCUAAACCCCAUUAUAAAGGAAGUUAUAAAGAAAGAAAUCAUCAAAUGGCUGGAUGCUGAGAUCAUAUACCCGAUAUCAAACAAUUCAUGGGUGAGCCCAGUACAAUGUGUUCCAAAAAAAUGAGGAAUAACAAUGAUAGUAAAUGAAAAGAAUAAACUUAUUCCUACAAGAACAGUGACUGGAUGGAGGGUAUGUAUGAAUUACAAGAAACUCAAUAAAGCCACACGGAAAGAUCACUUUCAACUUCCAUUUAUAGAUCAAAUGUUGGACAAACUUGCUGGAAAACAAUACUGUUGUUUUCAAAAUAGGUAUUCAGGUUACAACCAAAUUGCUAUAACCCCAGAGGAUCUGAAAAAAACUACAUUCACUUGUCCUUAUGAAACUUUUGCCUUCAGAAGAAUCCCUUUGGUUUGUGCAAUGCUCCAACAACUUUCUAGAGAUGUAUGAUGUAUAUUUUCUCAUAUAUAGUGGAGCAAACAUUAGAAGUCUUCAUGGAUGAUUUCUCAGUCUUUGGAGAAACGUAUACUGAUUGUUUACACAACUUGGAAGAAGUUCUUAAAAGAUGUGAGAUGACUAACUUAGUACUCAAUUGGGAAAAAUGUCACUUCAUGGUGCAAAAAAGCAUAGUGUUGGGUCAUAGGGUGUCCAAGAAUGACAUAGAGGUAGAUAAAACAAAGAUAGAAGUGAUAGAUAAACUGUCACCUCCCACUUCAGUCAAGGGUAUUAGAAGUUUUUUAGGACAUGUUGGAUUCUACAGAAGAUUCAUAAAAGACUUCUCCAAAGUAGCUAAACUAUUAUGCUCACUACUAGAACAUGACAAGCCUUUUCAAUUUGAUAAAGGCCGUCUUCAAACUUUUAGAGAACUAAAAAAAGUUUUGAUCACUGCACCAGUGGUUAUAGCACUAGAUUGGACUCUACUUUUUGAGCUGAUGUGUGAUGGCAGUGACCAUUCUGUUGAGGCAGUGUUGGGACAAAGAAAGAAUAAGGUUUUCCACUCUAUAUACUAUCCCCGCAAAACUCUUAAUAAAGCUCAAAUUAAUUACACCACUACAGAGAAAGAGUUGCUAGCAAUAGUAUUUGCUUUCGAUAAAUUUAGAGCUUACUUGGUGGAUACUAAAGUGACAGUCUACACAGAUCAUGUAGCCAUCAAGCACCUAAUCUCGAAGAGAGAUGCCAAACCAAGAUUAAUAAGAUGAGUAUUAUUGCUUCAAGAGUUUGAUUUGGAAAUUAAGGAUAGAAAUGGGACUGAAAAUCAAGUAGUAGAUCAUCUGUCGAGGCUAGAAGAAGAUAAGAGCACAUUGACUAGACAAGACAUCAUUGAAACAUUUCCUGAUGAACAACUGUUAGUGCUACAACAUGUACCAAUGCUCCAACAACUCGGAUCUCUAUGGUAUGCAGAUUUUGCUAACUACUUAGUAAGUAGAUUGUUACCAUUUGAGUUAAAUUUUCAAAAGAAAAAGAAAUUUCAUGAUGUUAGAAGCUACCAGUGGGAUGACCCAUACUUGUAUAAGUUAUGCUCAGAUCAGGUGAUCCGAAGAUGUUACUACAAGAAAACUGGUAAUAGAUGACGGGAAAUAACUUUCAUAAAAGGGGGUGCAUGACAAACAACCUAUCCGUCAUCUAUGUCAGUGUCAUUAAUUUAUGAUAGAAUUUUUCCCGUCAUGCUUUUAUGAUAGUUUUUAGUAGUCACAUGUAUAUCACAUCACAUUUGAGAGGGAAACUCAAAAUUAUUUCAAUUUUUUGCAUUUCUUUUCAAAUUUUUUGGGUGGAAAAUGGUAUUAUCCCAAUUAAUAUUAGUUUAAAAUAUUUAUUAUUAUUAUUAUUUGAAUUUUACUGUUAUUGAUAUUGUUAUUAUUAUUAUUUUAUAUUUAUUAUUAUUAUUAUUAUUAUUAUUAUUAUUAUUUCCCGAACUAUGCAAAUUUGCUUUUAGAAAUUAAAUUUUGAAUGUAAAAUUAAUGUAAAAUAUGAUGCUAAUAAUUAAAAAAAUCAAAUAAAUAUAAAAAAAUGAAAUUUAAUAUAUAUUCAAACUUCAAUAUUCAUUUAACUAUACAAGCUAUAACAUCCACCCAAAAUCAGAAAUUUCCUAAAUAAAAGUUCUGCACAUGAGAAUCAUUCCCAACAUCUAAUUCCAACUACAUUUCCCAAUCGUUCCCUCUCAUAACAAUCAAUCAAUGCCCAUUAACUGACUUUUUGAUUGCCGGAUGGUCACCCAAACUUGAAUGAGCUACAAAUUUUCCCAAUUACACUCGAUUAGUUACCAAACUGAAAACAAAUCCUAUUUAUUUGUUACAAUUCAUUUUGUAGCAAUCACAUAAUUAACUAAGCUCCAUCUAGUAGUAAUAUGUAGAAAAAAUCACAAAACAAAAUAGACACUACCAUUGAUAGUACACCUGAGCUGAAACAGAACAGGAAGAAUAAUCAUCUCUAAUGCAAGUACACACUUAAAUUAAUAUCAUGAAUUAAGAACAAGAGUCAAAUGCUAUAGUAUAUAUAAAACUUAACCCUUUCAUAUGAUGGGAGUUGGCAGUGUAUUGGCGCUAAUUACUUCAAGGAAUUCAAAUAUUUCCUCUCAUUUACUAACAUACCACAAGCAAAAUUAAUAGACUACUACAUAAUGAAUAUUCUCAGAUAUCAUAUAUCAAUUUAGUUGGGUACUUUACAAUAACUUAGUGUUACAUAAAGCAUCCAUCAAGAUUAAGCCAAACAUAUAAAUAAUAGGGCAAAUAUCAACAUCCAUCACUACAAUUUACAAUGAUUACAGGCAGUAGUCACACUUAAAAUAUGUUUAUGUAACUGAUAUUUCACUAGACAUUGAAGUGGCUUGGAAAAUUAUACACUAAAUAACAUUGAAAUGGCUUGAAAAAUUAGACACACAAUAACUAUCUAACUCUUAAAAUGACAUUUGGAAAUUCUGGAUCAGCAAAAACCUUAAAAAUGUUGUGAAGAACACCAAGAUCAACAUCUUUAACACAAUAAAAUUAUUUUUUUUCUAAUUUUCUCAUUUUUCAUUAAAACAGACAUAACCUAGCAAGCUUAGUUCCUUAAUGGUACGGCCAAAGGCAUAAAGAAUUGCAUUUCUAAACAUUACCCAAAAGGAGUUUAUGUAUAAAAGUUUGCAUCAAUUACCUGGAAGAAUUCUAAAAAUUAGUAAGAAUACACUUACUCGCCAUUAACUAGGGCAGCCCCACAAAUCAGCAAAUUCUUUAGGUCCUGUAACAAGAAAUUUCAGGAUAACAUCACAUCAUCGAAAUAAAAUACCAAAACAUACAAAGAAAUUUCAACAGCAACAUUAGCUUGACCAGCUUAAAGUUUGCUUUCCAGCUAAAAACACAAGUCAAUAUCACAACAUAAGUUUUAUAACAAUUAUUUUUAAAAGCUGAAAAUUUUCCACGAUUUUAAAAAUAAUUGUUCACUUUGGUAUUUUCCUUCAUCAAAACAAUUACUACAAUGAUUUUUAUAGUUGAAAUGAAAAAUUCUUUUUACCUUCCCUUUGUUCCAAGCUACCAUCCAAGCUCUAACAAUUUUCAUUUUUCACACUUAAAAGGCUUGGACCAUUAUCUAUAACAAAUCAAUAUACAAUUCUCAGACAUGUUAUUUUGAUCUAAAUAUAAUAUAAGACGCAAAAUUAAACAAGUAAAGAUUAAGACCUUGAAAAAUUUGUGCACUGUUGCCGCAAAGUGGAGGAAGAUUUUGAUGGAAAAUAUUGGGAGAGUGGGUUGGUAAAGGAAUUAGGUAGCUAGUAUAAAGAGCCAUGUAAUGAUGAUGCAUCUUUUUCUAUAUACUUUUACAUCAAAAUCAUUAUAUGGAUAAAUUUCUUAAAAAAUUGACACAAACAUCACAAGAAUGCUUUCCAAAAACAAAAUCAAAAGCUACUCACAAGUGGCAUUACUUCAGAUUGCUCUAUUUCUUUUUGACUCACUUUAGUUACCAAAAUUUAUAAAAAUAUUUUUGAAAACUUAUUAAACAAUCCAUUUAUAAAUUUUCUCCAUUGGACUACCUUUACAAAACCCAUAAAGAAGAAAUUGCAUGCACUACCACUCUACAUCAAUAAAAAGAAACAAUGGACAACAACCCAAUCUUCUAUGCACAAGCACAAACGAAGCUCAACAGUAGAAAAAUCCUAAAAGUUAAGAGCAAGCAUUAUACAAUCAAGACUCAAACCCCACAACCUAUAAUAAUAAAUAUAGUUGUUAUUUUUUAUAAAAAUAUAACUAAAAUCUAGCUACACUAUAUUUUGUACGGCCAUUGACAAAAUUCAAUCUUGAACUCUACACCAUAUAUCAUUUCAAUAGCUAGCACAAUUGCUCUUAUUUAAAAUAAAAUCGAUACCUGAUUGGCUGUUUAUGACCUCUUCAAAGCAUUAUCCAUGUAGUGUUCCAAUCCAAGAUACUACACGCAGACACCACAGACCUCGCUUUACGCCACGAAAAUUGAGGAUAUUAGACUACAAAUUAAAAUCGAAAGUAUAUCUCUAUGUAUAUGCGUAGAGAGGGAGAGAGAGAGAAUUAAAAAUAAUAAAAAAUUGAUUAACUAAAGGUUAGAUAGAUAGAUCUAAUAAACAGACCUGUAAUUGAUUCCAAAUAGAACUGGCUGAAUUUAAUUUGUUUGCUUGGCUUGUGUUUCUCCAGCGCGAUGACAGUGAGGGUUUCAAAAGUUAAGGUCACGAAAUUUAGGGUUUCCAUAGUUAAGAAGUGAGAGGCAAUAAGACAUUGAAACAACGACGAAUUGAGAGUGAGUGUUCAAACGGCAGCAAAGUGGCGGCUUGAACACGAAUGUCUAGGGUUUCUAAAGAUGAGAGGGUACUUUCUGGGGAAGUUUGGAGUGUGAAUUUCUUGUUUACUUAUCUUAAAAAUAGCGAGAGUGGGAGUGGAAAUUUGUGGGUCUUAUUUAAUUUUAGAGUGGGGAGUGGAAUUUUCACUCCUAUGGGGGGAGGUGGGAGUGGGAAUCCACUCCCCCUCUUCCCAUUUUAUCCUUAUAAAAAUAAAUAAAUAAAUAAAUAAUAUUUAAUAAAAUAAAUAAUAUCAUAUUUAUUAAAAAUAAAUAAUUAUAUCAUAUUUAUUUUAUUAAAUUUAAUAAAAUAAAAAUAAAUAAAUAUUAUAUUUAAAUUAAUAAUAUUAAAUAUUAAUUUUAAUAAAUAUUAAAUAUUAAUUUUAAUAAAUAUUAAUUAAUUAAUUAUUUAAUAAUAAUAAAUAUUUUAUUCUAAAAAAAUAUUAAUUUUGUAAUAUAUUAUCAAUAAUAAUAUUUCAUUUGUGUUGCUAUUAUUAAUAAUUUUUAUUCACAUAAUUUAAAUUAAAAUUAAUAAAAAUUUAUGAUUUACAUAAUUAAGAAUAUUAGUAAUUAUUAUUAAUUUAUAAAUAUAAUAAAAUAUUUAUUUUAUUUUCUAAAUAUAUUUUUUAUUAAUUUUUUAAUUACAAAUUAUAAUUCUGUACAUAAGGAUAAAAUUAUAAUUUAAAAUAAUUUACUCCCAAUCCAAGACAAAGUAAACAAAUAAUUAGGAUUCUGAUUGACAAUCCAUACUUUCAUUUAGUCUAAGUAAACACCCUACUCCCACUCCCACUCCACACUCCUAAUCCAAGGAUUCUCACUCCUCAGAAUUCCCACUCCAAUCCAAAAAAGUAAACGCAGCAUAAGUGAUGAGAUUCAACACUCGGGAAAAAAAAAAGGAUUAGGAUUACAAAGCACCAAACGGUGCGUUCCAUAUUUUCAGAAUUUAUUUUAUAAUUAAAAAUUUUAAAAUUUUAGUAUUUUAAGUUUAUAUAAUACAUCAAGUUUGGGUCAAAUGUGGUCAAAAUUAUUUUUCUAUCAUACGUUUUUGAUAGAAUAAAUUUCUAUUACAAUUCUAUCAUAAUUUCAUGAUAAAAAAUAAUCCUAUCAUAAAACCAUCAUUAUUUCAUGAUAGUAAAUAUUUCUAUCACAAGCCUAUCAUAAAUCUAUGAUAAAUUCAAAAUUCUAUCACAAUUCUGUCGGAAUUUUAUGAUAUACCUAUAAUCUGUCAUCUAUUGACUGUUUUCUUAUAGUGUGUGUUUCAGAGGAAGAAAUUUCACAUAUACUGCAAUCUUGCCAUGCUGCAGCAUAUGGAGGACAUUUUGGUGGACAAAGAACAGCUGCUAAAGUUCUGCAAUCAUGUUAUUACUGGCCUUCUGUUUUAAAUGUUGCUUAUGAGUUUGCUAAAUGUUGUGACAGGUGCCAAAAGACAGGAAACAUAACUCAAAGACAUGAAAUGCCAUUGACAAAUAUUCUGAAAGUGGAGAUUUUUUAUGUAUGGGGAAUAGACUUCAUGGGCCCUUUCCCACCAUCCUUUGGGAAUUUAUAUAUCCUGGUUGCUGUGGAUUAUGUCUCCAAGUGGGUAGAAGCUGCAGCAUUACCCAUCAAUGACGCCAGAGUAGUGGUGAAUUUUCUUCAGAAAAAUAUCUUCUCCAAAUUUGGCACUCCACGAGCAAUUAUUAGUGAAGAGGAUACUCAUUUCUGCAACAAAGUAUUUGCUGCAGCAAUGGCUAAAUAUAGAGUCAAACAUAAAAUUGCGACAGCAUAUCACCCACAAUCUUAAUGGCCAGGCAGAAGUAUCUAAUAUGGAGAUUAAGAAGAUUCUAGAAAAGGUAGUGAAUCCUUCAAGAAAGGAUUGGUCAUUGCGAUUACAUGACUCUUUAUGGGCUUACAAAAUAGCAUACAAGACACCACUUGGCAUGUCUCCCUAUCGAAUUGUAUAUGGGAAAGCUUGCCACUUGCCACUCAAGCUGGAGCACAAGGCAUAUUGGGCACUGAAAUAAUUAAAUUGGGAUAUACAUGCUGCAGUAGAGUAGAGGAAACUUCAAUUAUGUGAACUUGAUGAAUUACGGUUAUUCUCAUAUGAAAAUGCAAGAAUCUAUAAGGAGAGGACAAAACAAUGGCAUGACAAACACAUCCAACAAAGAAAAUUAAUCCUUGGUCAACUAGUUCUACUCCAUAAUACAAGGUUAAGACUAUUUCCAGGAAAGCUGAAAUCUAGAUGGUUUGGACCUUUCAAGUUGCUCAGAAUUCAAAGUUAAUGGGCACGGAGUUAAGCAUUACAUGCAUUCAACUACAAAUUGUUCAAAAAAGGUCUUACUCCUUAGUGAACCAGUAGUGUGAGCAUUCAAGAAAGGUCAGGCUGAAGGAAGUGGAUCCUCCAUGUUUUUGUUAUAGUAUUUAUUAUUUAUUUAUUAUUUGUCUUAGUUAGGAUUGUUUAAUUUGUAUCUUUUAUUGUAUUGUUUAAAAAAUAACGAAACAUCCUAAGUCACACAAUUCUUGGAGUUGGAUUCAAUAUUGACAAUUGGUGCUGUAAUGUUAACAUGUUACAAAGAUAAGUUACUUGACAACAGCCAUAUGAGGAGAUUGUUGUGCAGAUUGCUAGAGCAUACGUUUUGUUGCUGCAACAAUCAAUUUUACCAUUACAAUAACUUAAUAUAAAGCCUCACAUUUUACCGUUGGAGAUAGCAUGUGACAGCUGGUUGGGCGAACUCGGAUAGAGAUUGGGGAAGAAUGCAUAAUCUCUUAAAUAACUACAUCAAUAUCUCUUUCCUAUUUUUAUGGGAUAUGCUUAAUAAAUUCAAAAAUUCUUCCCUAAUUUAUCUCUUUUACCGGAUUUGUUUUAUUUAUUUCCACCUAUAUAAGAGUUUCACUUUGCAUGUUGACCUCUAACACUAUUUUCUUUUCCCUUCGCAGUCACAACUCCUCUACCUUAUAACCUCUCCUCCUUGUUUCAGUCUUGGACAUAUUACCACAGUCAUCUUACUACUGUAGCAAUGCUAAGGUAUAAAAGGAUAGAUAGUCGACUAAAAGAUCCAUCACGAUUUCAAAGUUACCAUGCGGAAGAGAAGUAUGAAGAAUUUAUUGAAUCGCACAAAAUUUUGGAAGAAAAAGGGUUUUAGCCCCCACCUCAACCCUCGAGAAUUGUGAAAUCAUUAUACGCUGCUGCAGCAAAGCGCGAGUGGCUAGAGUUUUGUAACCACCCCCGAGACCCUGUGUUGCCACUGGUGAAAGACUUUUACGCCAACUUAUUAAGCCAUGGCCAGCACAAUAUUUGGGUAAGAAACUCGCUUGUACCAUUAGAUUCUCGAGUUAUUAAUGCUUUCUAUAAUUUACCCUCUGAAGUUAAUUGUGAGUAUGCAAAAUUGCUUGAUAAAUUAACCCCACAAAGAUGGAAUAAAAAUUUCACAACACUUACCGUAAAAUGGUGCAUCUUGGGCUAAUGAAGAAGGGCGUGUGAUUAAUAGGAUAGAUUUGACAUCCAUUGCUAAGCUGUGGGUAAAAUUUUUAAAAUCUAUAUUGAUGCCAACCAUACACACCACUACUGUUUCACAAGAAAGGUUAGUACUUUUGUAUGUCAUUGUUAGAGGGUUACCCAUAGAUGUGGGAAGCAUUAUAGAAAAAGAAAUUCGGGACUGUGCCAUGAAAAAUCACAAAGCAGCUGCCUUGCUAUUUCCUUCACUAAUCACCAGGAUCUGUGUGGUAUAGGGAGUCCGCCUUGAUGCAAAAGAUGAACAUGUUAAGAAUAAUGGUGCUCUCACUGCACGCACCAUCGAACGAAUUGCUGGUGAAGUUGCUGGAGCCCCACCCGAACCAGUUGUUGUAGUAAGGGCAAGAAGAGUUAUUGGGUUAGAGCAGAAAAUCCAAGCACUGAGCACCAACAUCACUUAAUGUGCUGAAGCUCAGCAGAGAGAAAAUAAUCGGUUUUGGAGCUAUUUGCAGCACUCGGAGGACCACCUACACCAAUUUACUAUAUAUAUGUAAAAUACAUACCGAAAUUUCCCCGAUUCACUACUACAACAGUAUAAUUUUGGUACCUCCACUACAAAAGCUCCAGCAGAAGUUAGUGAAGAUGCUAUUGACACAGAUGAACCAGAGGAAGAAGCUGCAGUAGAACUGCAAGCAGAGGCUAAUACAGAUGUUGAUGACCAGUUAGACCAGCAUGAAGAAGAGGGUGUCAAGUCUACAACUGACAGUUCCCCGACAGGGGAGGAGGAAAAGCAUGAGAAAAGAACCCCCAGCCAGGACCUCUUCCAAUUCCAGGAAAAAACACAUCAUACAAGUAGAGGAAGAUGAACCUACAGAAGAGCCUCCCAUUUCAGUCCUCUCUCAAAAGGGCAAAGAGAAAGUAAUUACCCCUCAUGCAUCCGACGAUGAAGCCAAGCACAUUGAUGUAGAAUUGGAAGCUGCAGUAGCUAGGGUUACUCAUACACGCACCGAGACAAAGCAUAUGCUUGAUAUCAUUGCCGCAAUCACGGCUGAAGGGUAUGCAGCCGAAGACCCAGCUCUAGCUCCCUCAUGGAAAACCGCCAGCAAACCUAUUCUCCUAGUCUUAAAGGACCCAGCAAUAGAAAGGGGGGCACUUUUGGAGGCAUUGUUGCAGCAGACACACCAGAGCCAAAGAGGACCAGAUCUGUUUCGUCCCAGCCAGCUGACCCACUGCAACUCCUCCCACUAGCCCAUCGCAGAGAAAGAAAAAGUCGUUGCCAACUACCUCACCGCAAGAAUCUCCUAAGGACCGACUGCGGAGCGCCUCCAAAAAGCGGUGAAUUGUUUAUAAUUUGUUGCAGUAGUACUUCCGGCACCAAGGGAGUACCACUACCCGCUACUUUAUUUUACUUCUUCAUACAACAACUUUUUCUUCAUUUAGUUUUAAUUUUCUGAUUUAUUUUGCAUGUCCUUUUAUUUAGUGUAUGCAUAUCUGGUUUAUGUGGUUUUGUUUUGUGUGCUUGUGAGGACACAACACCUUUCAACUUUGAGGGGGGGUUGUGCUAUCAUAUAAUGUGUUAUUGAGUGCAUUGCAUGUGUUGUGGUGUUGUUUGUGAAGUGAAGCUCUGUAUCUACUGCUUGUGUAUGGAUUUGAAAGCCUAAUGAAGAUAAAUUGAGUGUUACUCAGUAUGUAUGAGAAUGUCCAGUAGGGAUAGUUAUAGAUGGAGGUUGAAAUUCUGUCCCGACACUUAGACUUUGGUUGAGAUUCAUGAGAAUGCUACAGCAGAAUCAAGAAAACUGCAAAGAGUAGAAAAUAUCUGAAGUUUGGGGGAAAUGUGCGUGUUGAACUGUGCUUAUUAAAGUCUGCUCCAAUGGCUUAAAUGGUUGAGUAACCAGGGCUGAGUAUGUACCCUAUAUUCAGACUUGAGUUAAAAGGCAACAAGAGUUAUGAGCAUUGCUGUAACAGUUUGAACUAUCGUGAUUGUUGUAAUAUUUCUAGUAACAUCAGUCCCUGUGGAGACGAUCUUGAAUAUUUAUCACUUUAUUACUUGUUGUGUACACUUGCACAUGACAUCAAUAGUAAUUGAGUUAAAUUAACCAACAUGUGUGUUCCCCCCCUCUCUUUUUAUACUAAUACAAGAUUAAUCCACACCACACAACUAAAUAAAACAAAUUACAUCUUAGUCUUACAUUUGACCCACUAACAAAACAUAAAUAUAACUUAAUCCACUCAAGCAUAUCCAACACAUUCCACUAACAAUUAUAAUACCUAACAUAGUAAAAAUUUAUAAUUUCACAAUUAUCAUAUUUACCAUGGUAAAAACUUAUAAAUUUAGAACAAAAAUGGCGGAUCCUCCUUGACAAUGACAUAAUUUCUGAGAUUUUCGAAAUCUAAAUUUGACAUCCGUACAUUUGUUUGGAAUCUCAAAUUGUGUGAAAUUAUUAUUUUUACCUAAUAAACACACAAAAAUACACAAAGUCAAAUAUUUAGAAAAAUAAUUAAAAAUUCAUAAUAUGUUACAUAAUUAUAAAUGUCAAUUAUAUUAUAAGCACAAAAUAACAUUUUACUCCUUAAUAAACAUACAAUUUUUAAUACUAAUCACACCUCCCCAACUAGCUUAUUGCUAACCCCUAGCAAUCAAAGCAUUAUAUUAAAUUAAGAUUUACAAAAUUCACAUGAAACUUAAUAGUUGUUUAUCUAUCCUCUAAACUACCAAAUAAAUAAAUUCUCCCAAAAUUUUCUAACUCUUUGUCAUUCAUUCAUUAUCCAGAAUAUCAUAAACUUUCUUUUGUGCUUAAGUAAUUAACACAAUACUUAUGGGGCCUCAUUAAAAGAAAACAACAUUUUCGUUCUAAAACUCAUUAGAAAUUAUAUCUUCAGGCAGUAGAUUAUUAAAACAUUUUUUUAAAUAUUACAUUUUUAACCCAUGUAGCGAGUUUUAGGCCAGUGACUCCCAGACUAGUUGGCCUUAGGGCACUAGGUGUUGAGACACCUCUACGAACUUAAUUACUCGAGUCUUUAAUAAAUAAGCAAAUAAUAUAUCUAUAACUCAUUAGGUCUGUGACUCCUAACUCAGUUGGCCUUAGGUCAUUAGGUGUUGAGACACCCUUACGGACUUAAUUACUCGGGUUCUAGAUAUAACAAAAUUAAAUACAUUCAAUUUUUUUUUGUAAUAUGCAUUUUCUACUACCUUAGAUAUUAUCCCUAACAAAUCAAAAAACUGAAUGCUGUAAAAAUUUUAAUUUACAACCACUAGUAUGUGUCAUAGUGUGUGUGUGAAGAAUGAUUUAAUAAUACUUGUUAAAUGAGUAAAUAACAAAAUAACUUAAUAAACAAAUGGAGAGUUCACAAAUUUGAGUAAUUCAAAGAAAAAGGGAACAAAAACAACUUACUAUGAAUUUUAAAAUCAAAAUAUAAUACAACAGAACAAUUAGGAUGCGUCUCAAAAGUCAUGACUUGAUGAGCAUAAUUUAUAUACAUAUUUUACCCAUUAUUAUAUAAUUACUAGUUAUUUUUAAUUAAUUGAAUUAUUUUAUUGAAUAGGGGAUUAAUUGGAGAUUAUGGAUAAAAAAGGACAUAAAGGAGCUCAAUUUUGGAGGCAUUAAUUGAUUGAUUUUAGGAGCAAUUAGGCAAAUAUGCAUGUGAAUUCAAGAAAAAUUCAUUCAUCCAUGCACAUGAAGACAAAGAAGAUUAUGGCCAUCAUGUGAGAAGCAAUUGUAUGGCGUUAAAAAAAGAAUGAAAAAAUCCAAGUGGAGUGCACGUGCAAGACCAAGCAAAUAAAAGGGCGAAACCUUUUGGCUUUGGAAUUUAAGACGUGGGGCCGAUUUUAAAGACUAUAUAAGAAAGUUAAACUUUGGCUUUUGGAAAAGAAAAGAGCAGCCGCCGGAGGAGAAAAGAGACGCAGACGAGAUUCGGCAGGGAAGAGCAGCAACAGUUCGGCUUCUCUAUGGCUGUUUUUAUUUGCUUUGUUGCUCCCAAUUCAAGUAUGUCUAACUAAUUUUUUUAUACUGAGGUUAAGGAUGAAGCCCUAUUCAAUGAAAAAAAUAUCUUUUUAUUUAUUUAAUUCCCUAUAUAUGUUCUUUGAUGAUUAUAAUUUUUAUUUCACAUGAUUAAUUGGAUGUUAUUAAAAUCUUUUCAUCAAUUCUGUUAUGCAUUAUUGAUUAUUAGGAUUAAUAUUCGAUUAAAUCCAUGCUUGGAUUCAUAAAGUUUAUACAUGAUUAUCUUUGAUUUCGUGUCUUUCAUUAAAUUGUUUACACAGGGUGCUUAGGAAACUUUGACUAUUUGUUAUUCAAUAUGUUUACAUGGGAUGCUUAGAUAUUAUACUAUUAAGCAGAAAAAGAAUCUACACAAGAUUAAUUUUAUUUAGGCUUAAUUAUUAUAUCCAUGAGAUGACAUAGAUUGAUUUCGAGUUGUCACUAUAAAAUUGGGGAUUAAUUAAUAAUUAGAUAAUUACUAGUUCAAUAGUGGUGACUGGUGGAUUCUGAAACCUUGAUAGUUUUUGUCUUAUUGAAAUCUCAUUUUCUUUAAUUGUUUUCUUAGUUUAAUUAGUUUAAUUUUCUUAAAAAUUCAAUUUGCUCAACUAGGUUAGAAUUAAUAUUAAUUUUAGAUUUAAAUUAGAUUUAAAUUAGACUUUUCAAUUUAUAACAAUUCCUGUGGGAUCGACCUCGUUACCACUAUUCUAACUCUAAAUUCGUGCGCUUGCGAGUAUAUUAAAUUUUUUCACAACAUGACUCUUUACACAGCCAUCCUAAACACAUAUUUUUUUUGUUGUUUUUGGUUUUUUGGGCUUUUUUUUUUUAAAUAAACACACCUAUUUACAAUUUACAUCAACUAUCCCUUCCCCCCAACCUAAUCUAAAUAUUAUUCAUAAUUUUAAAAUAUGCUUGCAAAAAGAUAAAGAAAACAUAAAUAGGAAAUAUCACACCUGAACAAACCAUUGAAGAUGCGUUUUUAGAGCCGCUACAUCCCAUAUUUAGCCAUCUUCGACAUAAACAUUACUAGGAUUUGACAUAUUCCAAAACUGUCAACUAUUCCCUCCCUCCAACCUGAGUAAAAAAUUAUCCUCAAUGACUUAAAGGAAAGGAGUUUAGAAGACAUUACCUGAUCGCUCCAAGAAGAUAAUUACAACCAAAAAGUUAAGUCCAACUUGUACUUCUUACUAGGGCUAAGUUUACCACAUUAGUCAACCAUUCCAAUGCCAAUGUCCUAGGAUCUAGCUCUGGUUUGUAAGCUUGUAAAAAAUUAAGUAACUCAUUAGCAGUACAAGCACAAAUAAAGAGUUUUUUUUGCGGAGAUUAUAAUAAAAUGAUUCUUAAUUACAUGGUUAAUGAAUGUGAGCAAACCAUCAUAAAAAUUAUUAACAUUUAAUAAAUCGAUAGGUUUUUUUAUGGAUGUUCAAAUGGGCCUAAAAUGCAAAUGUAAUCAGUGCCUCUAAAUUUGCAAGAUCUUCUGUCAAGAAAAUGAAAACGUCAGCAUGAUUUAACAUCUUAGAUAUUCGCUCUUGCAUACUUGAGACAACUAACUCUUCUCCAAUUUGUACGUCGGACAGGCACCCUAGAGGUUUUAAGGCUUGUGCAAUGAUACCUAGCACCUAGUUUCCUCUAAUAAAAAUAACUUAUGAGACAAAUUUUGAUAACCUACAGUCACCUCCUCUCAGCUAUGACACAACCAAGAUCUACAGCUGUCUGAAUGAACUCCUUGUAUUUUCCGUAAUGAAAUCCAGAGAGCACACAAAUGUUUUUGAAUUGUCUAUUCGAAGAUGUUGCCAUUGGAAUAAUCUUCAAAAACAAGUUGUGAGUGGUUGGAAAAAGAACUUGUAUUUGAAGAUCUUAGUGACAGAAAAAAUGAGAAACAACUGUAAAUUGAUUGGUGUAUUUGUCAGAGACACAUAAAGCUUAUGUCUCAAUAAUUCAAAAGCAAACAGUGAAAAGAAAAAAACAGUAAAAGAAAACAAAUAAUGUUAAAUACAAAAUCACACCACUAAACGGAAUAAUGCAAUUGAUAAAAUAAUAGCAAAAGAAAAGGAUAUUUACUAGUAGUUGUGAUUAUGGCUCAUAUCUUCCUCUGGUUUUACAUCCAGUAACGGCUUGAACGCCCUCUAUGGGUUGAGGAUAGGCUUUCCAUCCAGUUUUCUUAUAAAUUGGCAAACAUGGUCUUUUUGAGUCAGAUUCCUAAGAUUACACUGUGCUCUUUCUUGUCUCCAUAACCUAUGAAUCUCAUAUUGCACAUGUCCGCUUUGAUGCGUCUUAAGAGAUCCUAAGAUAUCAUCCAACGAUUCUUUGCUCAAGCCAUCUUUAACAAAUUUAAUUUUAUCUUCUCGAUUAUCAGAAACCAUUCCUAAAUAUUUACAAAUUUCUUGUUUGCAACUAAGUCGUACACAGUUACGACAUUCUGAGCCAAGUUUUUUAGCUCUCUUUUUUUUUAGCAAAUGUGCUUUUACCAAAACCAGGCAUGUAAAAAAUAAAUGGAUCAGAAAACUCACCUGCUAAUUGGACCUCUGCAUCAAUUAAUCAACAAAUGUAAGAAGGAAUGCUUUUGAUCAUUAACAAACGCAAUCGUUCACAAUGAACUUUGUAAAUUUUCGUGAGGUCAUCUGAGGGAGAAAAGGAAAACGCUUUUGCAAUUUAUGUUGUAUUUCUUCCAUGCUUGAUUUUGGGAUGUCAGUUAUUGUGGAAAACUUAGGAUACCGACUUAAAAAGUUACGGAGUACAAUUAUUUGCUAUUUAUACAGGAAAAUAAAUCAAAACACACCAAAAUGAAGAAAAUCAUAUCUGUAAGAUCAAAUCAAACGUGAAAACGACCAACAAAAAGAAACACACAAUGUAAAAAGAAAAAUGGACUCACAUUUGUCCUUUUAUUGAGUUAACUUCAAGCUCCAAUUGGAAGUCAUAUAUACCACCCUCUAUUUCUCUGAUUGUCUUUCUAGAUCUUCAACGUAGGUACUAAUGUUGGUGGUUGUAGUUCCCAAAUUGGAUGUGAUUUACAGCUUUGCAUUAGGCCGCUUAAGUGAAAUUUUACUCGAAAAAAGUUUUUAAGAUGUCUUAACAUAACCUUCCUUAUUGAGGUACUUAUGAUGUAUAAUGACGAAAAAAGAACACAAUUAUCAAACAUACUUAAGCAAGAAACAACAUAACGCGUAUCAUGAAAGACAAUUAAACAAUUCAAACGGUAAAAUAAUAGUGAAAAGUUAAAUCACCCAUUAGAAACUUAAUAAAGAUUUAAUGGGUCACUCCAAUUUAUUUCAGUGCUUUCUUCACGUGGUUGGUAUUCCAAAUAUAGUUUUAAUCUUUUUCCAUUAACUUUAAAUGUGACAUUGUUCUUUGGAUUCUCAAUAAAUGGGCUGCUCCACUUUGAAUUUAACUUUCUCGGAAACAAAUGAAGACGAGAAUUAUAAAGCAAUGCUUUUUGACAAAUCUCAAAUGUUUUUCGAAAAAUUCUUUUAUCAUGAAAAGCUUUUGUUCUUGCCUUAAUAAUUCUUGAAUUCUUAUAUGCAUCUUUCCUUAAUUCCUCAAGUUCAUUCAAUUGCAAUUUUCACGCAUUACCAGCAUCAUCUAAAUUUGAAUUAAAAGCUUUAAUGGCCCAAAAUGAUUUAUGCUCAAGUUCAACAAGUGGCAAGGUUUGUCAUAAACUAGCUGAUAGAGUGACAUUCCUAAAGACGUCUUAAAUGCAGUACGAUAGGCCUAGAGUGCAUUAGUCAGUCGAAGAGAUCAAUUUUUGCGGUUUGGGUUAAUUGUCUUUUCAAAAAUUUGUUUUAUCUCUCUAUUUGCUAAUUCAACUUUACUAUUUAUUUGAGGAAUGAUUGACACUAAAAAGUGUACAUUUAAUAAGGAUAAAGUUAUUAGUUUUUCAUUUAUUAUGUCAAUUAAUGCUCUCGUUAUUUCUAAAUUAUCUUAAGACUCCUUAAAUAUAUUUUUAUGUUAAAUUAAUUCGCAAUAUGCUAAUUUUUAUCUUGUAAAUAUUUUUUUUCAUGAAUAAAAAGGAGUUGGAACUGGAAGCGAGAACAAACAAGAAUUGCUGGAGCCAAUUGAAAAGAAUUAUUGAGGAGAUAUAAUUAAAAAACAAUAAUAAAUCAAAAAUAAAAAUAAAAAAUAAAAAAACAACAAUUGGGCAAUCAUGUAAGUGAUGGUCAGGAGGCCAUCACGCCUCCUAACCAUCACACAUUAAUAUAUAUAUAUAUAUAUAUAUAUAUAUAUAUAUAUAUAAAUAUAUAUAUAUAUAUAUAUAUAUAUAAUAAAAUAAAUAAAGAUAAUGCAUUCCUUGUCUAUUAUAGACAAGGAGAUGCAGGAAGUUGGGGGAGAGCCAAGCAAGCUAGAGAGCUGAGUAUUCGAAAGCCGAGAGAGAGAGUUCAGCUGAGGAUUUUUUUCUUUUCAUUUCUUGUUUUCUUUUGAUCAGUUUUCUUGUAAUAUAUUCUAAAAGUUUGUCAAAUAAAAAUGGUGUUUUAUUUUCUUUCAACAUGAGUGGCUAAUUUUAUUAAGUUGAGGUGAAGGGUGAAGCUCAAAGUAUCAAAUCAUAAAAUUAAUUUCUUUCUCAAGUGAGUUUUAAGUUUAUUUUAUUCUUUUUUGGUUAUUUUUAUGUCAUGUUAAUUUAUAAAUUUCUUUAGAUAUGUAUGGUAUUUUGACAUAAUGUCGACACAUAAAUAUAAUGUGGCACAUUAGGUACUUGAUUCUAUNNNNNNNNNNNNNNNNNNNNNNNNNNNNNNNNNNNNNNNNNNNNNNNNNNNNNNNNNNNNNNNNNNNNNNNNNNNNNNNNNNNNNNNNNNNNNNNNNNNNUUAAAUCGAUUUCAAAUAAUUUCUUUUCUCGCAAUUAAAUUUCUUUGUUUAACAAAUUGACAACUAGAUUUUAAUUCCCUGUGGUUCGACCCUGGACUCACCGGCUUAUAUUAUAAUUAGACACUCUUAUACUUGAGAGUAAUAUAUUUUUAAGUCAUGUCAAGUGUUUGACGCUGUUGCCGGGGAAUUUCUUAAAUUUAAUCUCAUUUUAUUUUUUUAUUUUGUCGAUUAUUGUUUACAUUUUGUAUUUUCCCUUCGUCAUUUCUUUGUUUGGUUGUAAUAAUUUAUUUCGUAAAGUUUCAAUCAGCUCCCUUCUCUCUCUCAUAAUCAUAGAAUUGGCAUAAAAUUUAUGAGAAACUUCGUUUAAGCUCCGAAACUUUUGCAAAUCAAUCCUCAUACUGAAUUUUUUCUUUAAAUUUCUGCAAUUUACUUUCCGCAUUUAUUUUAAAUGGUCGGUUCAACCGCCUGGUUGUUAUUUAAAUUUUGUUCAUUUAUUUAUUUUUGUUUAUAUGGUCGGUUCUACCGCCUAACAUUUUAAUUUUAGUUUAUUUAUUUUUGUACAUUAAUUUAUUUAAUUUGAUGUUUUGUUAUAUGACUGGUUCUAAAAUACCACCUAAUAUUUUGUUAAUUGUUUCCUUUAAUUACUUUAUUUUUAUGCCUGGUUUCGCCGCCUAAUUUAUUUUUUAUUUAUUUUCAGUUUGUUUAUUAUUUCGCAUUUUUGUUUAUUUUAUUUCUAGUUUACUUUUAUUUCUGCAAUUUUCAUUUAGUGUUUUAUGCAUCAUUGGUUUAGUACACAUCAUUAGCAUUGCAUGCGUCAUUGGUAUCGUACAAAUAUUUGCAGAUUAAUUAGGAGAUCACCUUCACCACCAUUAGAUAUGGCUGACAUAGGAGCUGAAAAUUUUUUCAGAGCACGAAGAUAACCAAGCCUUGCAAAAUCUUCAUGAACAACCUAGGACCCUUAGAGACUUCAUGUAUCUUACUAGAACAAGGUCACCACCAUGCAUAGUUUUCCCUCCUGAUGCAUCACGUUUUAAUUUAAAAAAUGGUAUCAUUCAACUUCUUCCUACUUUUCAUGGUUUUGAGUCUGAAAAUCCAUAUUUGCAUUUAAGAGAAUUUGAGGAAGUCUGUAACACAUGUACUGAUCAAAAUUGUAGCAUGAAUAUAAUCAGGCUUAAAUUUUUUUCUUUCUCACUAAAGGAUAAAGCUAAAACUUGGCUACAAAAUCGUAGGUCAGAAUCUAUCAGAACUUGGGAUGACAUGUAAGCAUAAUUUUUGAAAAAGUUCUCCCACCCCACAGAACAAAUUCUUUCAAAAGACAAAUCACCACAUUUACUUAAAAACCAGGGGAAACCGUCUACCAAUGUUGGGAUAGAUUUAAAGAACUAUUUAACAUUUGCCCACACCACGAUUUUGAAACAUGGAGAUUAGUAUCUUAUUUCUACGAGGAAUUAAUAUCCCAAGGUAGACAAGUCGUUGAAAUGAUGUGUAAUGGUGAGUUUAAGGACAAAAGUCCUAAAGAUGCAUUAGAUUAUCUUAACUAUAUAGCAGAGAAUGCACAACACUGGGAUACAGUUGGAUCUUAUGAGUUAUCAAGUAAAUCCCAGUCAUCUCCAUCUGGUAAAGGCAUGCAUAACCUUAGGGAAGACCAUGAUUUUCAAGCCAAAUUUGCAUCAUUAGCUAGAAAAGUUGAAGCAUUAGAGUCGAAAAAGAAUGAUAAUGUAAAGUCUGUUCAAAAUAUUUCAUGUUAUGUUUACGAUUCUACUGACCAUUCUACGCAGGACUGUCCAACUUUGCCAGCUCUGAGAGAAAGUUUGCAUAAACAAGUAAAUGUCGUUGAUAAUUUCAAAAGGCCAAACCCAAAUCCAUACUCCCAAACUUACAACUCGGGUUGGAGAAACCACCCAAAUUUCAGUUGGAGAAAUGACAACCACGCACAACCUUCACAACCAGUUCAUCCAUGUCAGAAUUUCCAAAACCCCCAGAGUUACCCACCUUAUAUCCCACCACCAAGAAAAACUCUGUAAGACACAUUGCAUUCAUUUAUUGAAAAACAAGAGUCGAGCAAUAACCAAACGAUGCAUAUCUUAACCAUUUUGACAGAAACUAUCUCCAAAGUUACAUCUGCUCUGACCGUGCGUGAAAAAGGAAAGUUUCCAGCUCAAUCUGAACCAAACCCCUAGAGUCAACAACAUCCUCAAAUGGCAAAUUCAGGAAACCGAAUUAUGAGUCAAGUUAAAUCGGUUAUAACCCUACGUGGUGGUAAAGUUGUCAAAAAACAUAUCCUAGACCCUCGAAAAACUAGUAAAGAUUCAAUUUAUGAGAAUAGGGAAGAGUCUGUCGAACCUUUAACCCAUGAAGAAAUAACCAACUCUCCUCUUAUACCACCAUUUCUUCAAGCACUAAUCCAGCCAACGAAAUCAAACAACAGCCAGGAAAUUUAUGAAGUUUUUAAACAAGUGAAGGUCAACAUUCCAUUGCUAGACGCCAUUAAAUAAAUACCUUUUUAUGCUAAAUUUCUAAAAGAUUUGUGCACAGUGAAAAGGAAACAUAAGGUGCAAAAGAAAGCUUUUUUAGCAAAACAUGUAAGUUCCAUUCUCUUAACCAAUAGUGUAAGGUUCAAUUCUCUCACCUAAAUAUAGUAGAAUUCAUUUUGAGCUAACAAGCCCCUUUAAGUAUUAAAAUAAUAUUAAUAUAUAAUAUUUAUUUUUUAAGAGAAGUAGUGACAUAAGUGAUGAUGCAAUGACUAGGUAAUAAUGACAUAAUCUAUGACAUAAGUGAUAAUGUAAGAGAAGUUGUAGAGAUAGAUAAGAAUUCUAGAGACUAGUAAGGUAUUUAUGAAGGAUAAUUUCAACCAUUGCUCAAGAGUUGUGGUGGCAAAAUCAUAGCCAUCCAUUAGCCUUAAGGAAUCCUAUAAAUACCCCCUAACCCCCUUUCAUUUUCAAUCCAACUUAGGAAUUAAAACAUUUGUUUAGGAGAGAAUCAAAGCAAUUGAUAAGUUUACUCUCCUUAUUCUCCAUGAGAUUUCUAAUUACUCUAUUUAGGGUUUAUAUUAGCAUGAUUUUAGAUUGAUACAGAUUAUAAUACAUGAUUUAAGGUGUGUUUAGGUUUUGUUUAGGGUUUUGAUUUAUUGUGGGUUUUAAUAAUCAACCCUUGGUGUAUUAAGCACACUUGACAAAUUCUGGACAAUAUGAGUAUCUCAAAUUUAAACAUAUAUUUUCUGAAUGAUUUUUCUUAAGAACUUUAUAUUUAUGAAAACUAGACAUGUAGGGCUUAUUGAUUAAAUUUUGUUUCAUAAGAUUUGACUUUGUUUUCAAUUUUAUAUGGACUUUUGAAUUGAACAUUAAUACACUGGAAAACUAUGUUUACAGCAAGGCAAUCCAAUUCAUAAACUUAUUUGUACUAGUAAAUGAACUCGAAACAUUCUUAAAUUUUAUAUAGGCGUUGAUACAUGUGUCUAGUAUUCCCGGUUUUAAUUUCAUAAGUUUCUAAUCAGUAUCAGAUGUUAUAAAAUUGUCAGAAUACAUUCUGUUCGGUUACCAUACUGUGAAACAAUUUUGAAUUUGUUAAUUAAUAAAUAGUUUUGAAAAUGUUUUUGGUAUCGGAUCCUCUUGGAAAUUUUAUAUGAGGUACCCAUGGAUGUCCAAAAUGGUUCUAUAGAAUAUUAUGUCAUUUUGAGUUUAGAUUGAGAGUUAAAAUUUUAAGAAUCAGACUAGUACGGGUAUGAAUUAGCAAAUCAGAUUUUUAGGAUAAGUUAUUAAUAGUUAUAUCUUAUAUUUGUUAAGGUAUAGGAGGUGAUUGAGACUUUUAGAGACUUAGAGGUGUGUUAGUUCAAAUCCCUUUAUCAAGGUAAGUAACUUCAUUCCUAAUAUACUGGAUAUGUAUAAUUAUUUUGAUAUUAUUAGAAGAGUUUUUAUACUACUUAGUAGAUCAAUGGAUUUUCAUUGCAAAAUCAGUUUAUGAAAAUGUUUUCAAAUCUAAAUCCUUUAAAAAAAAUUUCAUAAAUGCUUUUCGAUAUGUAAAUUAUUUUAUGACAUGACUACCUUUUAUAAUUUUGUCUAUAAAAUAUUCUGCAAGCCGAAAUUAUCGUUAUGUUUUGAACCCAUGUUUGAUUCAAUUAUUGCUGAUGGUAUGAGAUUCCUAAUGUUUUGGCUCAUUGUCCAUAGUUAUUCAGAUUCUGAUUCUGAUUCUGAUCGUAAUAUACGAUAUAUCUAUCUGGACCAGUACUGAGUUUCUGUUCUGAGUGUGCACACGAUAUUCUGAAUUCUGUUUCUGGUCGGGUCACCGGGACUAUAUGUGACACUAUGUGACAUGAGCUACUAUCUGUUUUCUGUGAAUGUGAUAUCUGAUUUACUUUCAUAAGUAACUAUGCUUUUGAUAUUUUGAGAUACAGUGAAUUUAUGUUAUUUUAUCGUGAUAUAUCGUUUUAUGAAAUUUAUGAAUUGUAACAUAUAUGUUUUAAAUAAAAUAAGGCUUGCAAUAUUUUUGGUAUCAGUUGGGCUAGUGUGUUAGGAAUGGUUUUACUUACAGAAUUAACGACUCACCCCUUGUAAUUACUUUUUGUAGAUUAAGUUCCGUUUGAAAGGUGUGCCUAGCCUUGGAGUUAGUAAUUUCAUUUCCGUUUGUUAUUUGAAUAAGAAGAGGAAUGAACUGAUGUUUCUAUUUAGUUUAUUUCUAUUAUGAACUUGUAAUUUGGAGAUUGAAACUUUUGUUAUUGUUAUGUUUUGGGAGAGAUUAUUUAGUGUUAGACGUUGCAAUUUGUGGAUUUGUUUGAAUAUGGGAUGCCAAAUCUCGUCUUUUGAGGGCUGGAUUGCAAGAUGCACCUAUUACUUGGGAGUUAUUUCUGGAGGCAUUUCAUGAAAAGUAUUUUCCUGAAUGAGUUCGACACCAGAUGGAGGCUGACUUCCUAAAAUUGACUCAAGGAACAAAGUGUGUUGCGGAGUAUGAGGAGCAAUUCACCGUUCUCUCUCGUUUUGCUCCUAUCUUGGUUGCUAUGAGGGUAGUAAGUAAAGACAGUUCCUGGAAGGGUUACGUCCUAACAUUAAAGGGCGAUUGACCAUCCUUAAUAUUAACAAUUAUGCCGAUUUAGUGGAUCGAGCAAUUCUUGAGGAGAAGGAUAUUCUUGAAGCUCAAAUUACAAGGGAUCAGAUAAAUAAAAAAAUCGACAAGGUGGACCACAAAAUGUAAAUUCUUAUAGACAGGGCAUUAAGUCCAAUAAGCAUAUUGGUAGAAGUAACAAAUAGGAUAAUGAGGGUGUUCGGGAUGACACCUCUCGAAGGAACUACCCCAUUUGUCGACAUUGUGAAAAGAGACACCCUGGUGAAUGCCAUUGGAAAACUGGAGCUUGUUUUGCUUGUGGAGAAACUGGGCAUAUGAUUAUGGAUUGCCCAAAGAGACAUAGCGAGACUGCAAAUACUCAAACUAAUGAAGAGCAGAAGAAGAACCAAGGGUGCAAGGGCGUGUCUUUGCGCUAACAGAGAAAGAUGCCGAGGUGUCUAAUGAUGUAGUAUCAGGUACAUUAUCCUUAUUAUCUAGAGAAGCCAAAGUUCUUUUUGAUCCUGGUGCUACACAUUCAUUUGUAUCUUGUGUGUUUGCCCGUUAUGCUGAUGUGCCUAUCACACCACUAGAUGAUCACGUGUCAAUUAGUACCCCUAUGGGGGAUUGCCAGUUAAUAGAUCAUGUCUAUAAGUCGUGUGUGAUCAUAUUGUGUGAUAGAGAAUUUCUUGUGGAUCUCCUAUCUUUAGAGAUGCAUGAUUUUGAUUUGAUUUUGAGGAUGGAUUGGUUAGGACCUUAUAAUGUUUCAAUAGAUUAUUUUGCUAAGGAAAUUAUUUUUCGCCUAUCUGGCGAGGAAGAAUUUCAUUUUCAAGGGAAUUAUAGGAAUCAUAAAGGUUUGAUUUCUAUGGUUAAGGCAUUGAAAAUGUUAAAGAAGGGGUGUGAAGGAUUUUUAGCGUAUGUAAUUGCUGACCAUCUCGAUGGGGCAUGCCUUGAAGACAUACCUAUUGUAAGGGAGUUUAUUGAUGUAUUUCCUGAAGAUCUUCCUGGACUACCCCCAGAUCGAGAGGUUGAGUUUACUAUAGAAUUAGUCCCUGGUACUACUAUUGAUUGAUUUAUAUAAUCAAUUAUUAUCAAUGCCAAUGUGCAAGUAGUAGACACAAGAAGUAAUAAAGUGAUGAGUGUUCAAGAUUGUCUCUACAGGGAUUGAUGUUACUCAAAAUGCUAAAACAAUCACAAUAAUGCACGUCAACUAAAGACCAAAACAAACAAUUGCCAAAUAAUUCUAUUGUAAAUAAUAAUUGUGAAAGAUGGGAAUUAAAGCAAUAUCGUAAUAAAAUAAACUUAAUUAAAUGUGUCCAAGGUUCAAUUAAGAAUAUAGUAGUUGAAUGAUCAAACUCUCCUAAUGGGGUGACUGUUGAUUACCGAAUUAGCACUAGUUGUUAUGAUAAGUGCUACAGCACUGGGUAGAACAAAUCUGCAUCCGCAGCUAUCGCAUGUUGAAAAUCUCAUACUUUUAAAUCUACUAACAAUGACCAGUUGCUCAUAAAUUUAAUGUAUGGCUUUAUGAUCUUUAAUCUCUCUACCCUACAAGGUGAACAUUUAUGUCUAGGAUAUCACAAAUCUUAAUUUCAAGUAUUGCCCUUAUGGGAUUUAAGAUAACCUAAUCCAGGAAACUCAAUUUAAGAACAAUUAAUACUCUAAUAAUGUCUGCUAAGACAUGCCCUUUUGCUGCUCUAUGUUAACUGAAACUAUUAAAUGGGUGGUCAAUCGAAAUAACAGUUAUGUCAUAAAAACUAUUAGAGUAUAAUACUACAACAUUAUCAUAACAUCAUAUAUGAACAGUCAAGAACCCAUUGGAUUAUUUGUCACUCAACUACAAGUAAAUUCAGCUCAUAUUCUAAAUGAGAAAAAUGAACAUAAAUAUACUAAUCGCAGAAUACAUCAAAUCAAUCAAAGGAAGAAAGAUAAUAUGAGUUGAGCACAAUGAAAGUCUAAGGAUCCUCCCCGGUGCUUCAAUGAUGCCGAACAACCCUCCUUAAUCUUGAUCUUCUUAUUGCCUUUGUAAUUGUUUUUGAAUGAUAAUUCCACCGCCGCUUCUAUGUGGUGCAUGCCUCCUUUAUAUAUUUGCAAAUUAGAUUUUCCGAAUCAAUGCCCAUGCGCGUGCCUGUGUUUAAAUUAGGAAACAUAUAGAUUGUAAUUUAAUUGCUGACCCGCGCCUAUAUUUUCUCCCGCGCUUCUCCCAGAUUGCUGCAGCAUUGGUUGCUCUAACAUCCGCAACAGCACUUGUGUCAUUUCCGAUUGUGCUUUCCUUAUUUUGUGAUCAUCUUCUUUCCUCCUCUUUCUUAUCUAAUGUCUCCGCAUCCUUUUAUGAAUUUAAAACCUACAAAUUAAAACCUGUUUUUGGCACAAAUUACUAUGAUUCAAGCAAAACUUGUUAAGACUCAACUAAAAUGAAUGUUUAUGCAAAAGUUCACCAAAAUGUAAUCAAAAUACAUUAUUUGCUUUCUAAAUGGCCUUUAUUCAAGUCUAGAACAGAUGUAAUAACUCUAAUUUCCUAGAGUUAUCACACCCCCAAACUUAAACUGUUACUUGUCCUCAAGUAAUGACACCUACUAACAUUUCCCGUAAACAAACAUGUACACAACUUCAGCUCUUUUAUCCAAUUUGCAAAGAUUCUUCCACCUUCAGAUCAUAAUCCCAAUCAUACAAAAUGCCCAUAGUAAAUCAGUUCUAGACUUAAGCUUCUUUCUGUCCAUAUUGUGUGUGUGCUGCCUUUGUGAUUAAAUUCCAUAGAUGCUGUAACAUUACCAAAGGGCUGCAUAAAUUUCAGCAUUAAUAUACUUCAUUCUUACAAGGGGUAGCAUAAUUUUCACAUAUUCAAACUGUGAUAGCUUUAAUAUUGAUAACCUGGGGGAUAAUCAACCUCCUCACUGUAACAUUUAUUUUUCAUGUGAAUGUCAAUCAUUUGUAAUGAUGACACCCAAUUACUCAAGCCAUGCUCAGAUCAGAGUUGCUGCAGCAAUAUCUGUAGUAUAAUCUUAUCUCAAGGUAUCUUUGACUCAAGGCUGAACAUGGGGGUCAUGAACAGACCUGGCUACUCAAUGCCUUAGAUAGAAGACUUUUUUUUUUUUUAGUAUAAGCUACAACACUGCUCAUAACUCUUGCUACUUUUUUACACAUUUCUACAUAUGGGGUGCAUACUCAGAUUUGGUUACUCAGCAACUUAAGCCAUUGGAGCAGAGUUUUAUUUCAUAAAUAUCACAGUCAAUUAGCAUGUUUCUCCCUUUAAACUUAAGAUAUUUUCUACUCUUUUGGUUUUGCUCUAGCAGUCUCAUACAACUCAAUCAAGGGCUAAGUGUUGGGACAUAAUUUCACUUAUAUCUAUAACUAUCUCUACUUGGCAUUCUCAUAAAUACUGAAUAGUACUCAAUUUAUCUUUAUUAGGUUUUCAAAUCCCUACACAAAUAACAGAUAAUAGAGCUUCACACAACACAAACAUAAACACAUACAUAAAACACAUGCAUUCGGAAACACCCCCCCAAACUUGAGAGAUAUUGUGUCCUCACAAGCAAACAAAAUAUAAACACACAAAUGGACAAACAAAUCUUUUUUUUUAAGAACAAGAAGGAAACUAGUGAGAUAAAAGUACUCCCCUGUGGUGGGGACUACAGCCCAUGAUGUGAUGUUAUCAGCGCUUCUUGGAUGCGCUACACAGCUUAUCCUUUGGUGAAGCCUUUGGGGAGGUAGCUGGCAAUGUCUUUGUCUUUUUUGUUGCAGGGCUGGUGAGAGGAGUUGUGGCUGGGGUUACUGUAGCAGUACCCGCAGAUGUACUGCCUUUUCGUUUGUUGGAUUGUCUUGGACUGGUGCGGAUAGGCUGGCUAGGACUUGGUUGUGGAGUCUUUUGAGUCAAUGCGUCAGCUGCCUAGCCCUAGGCUGUGAUGGUAGCUAUUACUUCAAGUAGUUGCUUGGCUUGCUUAGAUGUAGGCAUGGCUCUAACUGCUGCAGCAGCUAACUCAGCAUCAACUUGCUCCAUUUCAUCGUCAGAGGCUGGAGGUAUUGCCAUUUUUGCUUUACCCUUGGCCUUUCCUUUGCCUACAAAGACUGGAAUAAGAGGUUCCACGUCAAGGUUUUCCUCCUCCUCUUCUUGAAUAAUGUGCUGCUUCCUAGUUUUGGACUGGGUAGGGAUGGGUGGUUCCUCACAUUCUUGCUCUGAAUUAUCCUCUGCCUCUGAGGGUGAGCUAUCAGUCUCAGAUUUGUCACCUUCGUCCUCAGGUGGGUUAGAUGGUUCAGCAUCUUCUGAGUCAACUUCUGCUGGUGGUUCAGCUGCAGCUUGCUCUGCUGGCUCAUCUAAAGCAGUGGCUUCUUCACUAGUUUCUGCUGGAGCACCUGUGGUGCUGGUGUCAAAAUUAUAUUGCUGGAACAUGGAAACAGGGAAGUUCCGAUGAUUGCAUUUCAUGUACUUAGCAAAUUUGUGUAGUUGUCUAUCUAGGUGCUGUAGAUAGCUCCAAAACUGACCAUUUUCCCUCUGUUGAGCUUCCACACAUUGAUUGAUACUGGCGCUGAGUGCUUGGAUGGUAUGUUCUAAGCCAAGAGUUCGUCGUGCUCCUGUUACAGCAGCUGGUUCAGUGGUUGUUCCAGCACUCUCACCAGCAACUCUUUCAACUGUUCGUGCCGUAAAGACACCCUCAUUCUUGACAUGAUCAUCGCUGGCUUUAAGACGAACACCUAAAACUACACAAAUGAUAGUGACAAGUGAAGGAAAUAGCAAAGCAGCAGUUCGAUGAGUUUUGGCUGCACAUUCUCGGAUUUCUUUUGUAAUGAUGCUACCCACGUCUAUGGGGAGCCCUUUAACAAGGACAUAUAGCAAAACCAAUCUUUCUUGUGAAACCGUAGUAGUGUGAGUGGUGGGCAUAAGUCUAGAUUUCAAAAAUUUCACCCACACCUUAGCAAUAGGUUUCAAUCUAUCCUGUUAACUACACGCCCUUCCUCGUUAACUCAGGAUGCCCCUUUGAUGGUAAGAGUUGUAAAAAUGGUGGUUCACUUUUUCGGGGUUAACUUAUCACGCAAUUUAGCAUACUCACAAGUAAUCUCAGCAGGUAAGUUAUAAAAAGUAUUGAUAACACGAGAGUCCAAUGGAACAAGUGUAUUUCUUACCCAGAUGUUGUGUUGAUCAAGACUUACCAAAUUGGCCUAAAAUUCUUUUAUCACCGAUAGUACAGGAUUUCGAGGGUGUUUGCAAAACUCUAGCCAUCCUCGCUUUGCUGCAGAAUUAUGAAUUGUUUUCACAAUUCCAGUGAGUUGGUCUGGAAAUUAAAACCCUUUUUCUUCCAGAAUCCUGCGUGGCUCUAUGAAUUCUUCGUAUUUUUCUUCGGCAUAGUAACUCUGGAAUCGUGAUGGAUCUUUGAGGCGGCUCGCUGUUUUCUUAUAUCGCGGCAUUGCUGUAGCAGUAACAAAGUUAGGCUACUGUUCCUGAGAGCCAAAAGAAAAUAAGUGUUAAAGAAUUAGGAGAGUUGGACUUGCAAAGGAGAUGGGGAAUAGUGGCUUGGACACUAAGCACGGUGACUCCUUUUAUAGUGGGCUGUAAUUUGAAGAUAACUACAAUAAUUAGAGAUAAUUUAGGGAAUAAAAUAUUUGAAUUAAAUGUGCAUAUCCCAAAAUUAUCGGUUAUUGAAAUUAAAGCUGUGAUUUUGGAGAUUUGUUUCCGCAAUUUCUAUCCGUAUCCGAGCGUCCAUCUGUCACGAUUUCAUCUCCAACGGUAAGUGAAAGCUCCAGCAUUUAAUUUACUGUAACGGGAAAAUUUGUUGCUGCAGCCCCUAUUUACUUAUUCCAACAACGGCCACAGUAUCCAUACCAAAGCAUCUGACACGUGGUUUUUGUCCUCUAAAUUCUGCCACCAGAUACUUGCACUUGUCAAUAUGAAAUUCAAUUGUCACAUUUACUUCAAACUAAAAUUAAGUCUAAAAUUAUUAAAAUAAAAUAGAUUAAAUUAAAUCGAAAAGAAGGAAUGCAAUAAUGUAAAAAGGAUAAAAAUAAAUGGUUAACAUGGCAAAACAAGAUUAAAUUAAAUGGUGAAGAGGGAGAGUUGUUUAUGAAACCAAAAGAUAUCGAAAUUGGUUUGAAGUGGCUGCUUCCUCAAUGGGCUGCCUCCCAUGAAGCGCUUGAUUUAAGGUACUUCAGCCUGACCUUCUGUCUUUGCUCAAUAGUGGGGUUCUUGAAGGGAUAACACCUCCUUUGACCCUUCUGCUGCUGGGUGUAUGUAAUGCUUAAUCCUGUGCCCAUUAACCUUGAAUUUGUGAUCCGUUUGUUCAUCUAAAAGAUCAACAGCUCCAUGAGGGUAAGAUUUCAAUAGCUUAAACGGGCUAGACCAUCGUGACUUGAACUUUCCCGGAAACAACCUUAGUCUUGUAUUGUAGAGCAACACUAAUUGACCAGGGAUGAACUUCCUGUGUUGAAUAUGCUGGUCAUGCCAAUUUUUUGUUCUCUCUUUAUAAAUUUUUGCAUUCUCAUAUGAAAACAACCUUAAUUCAUCAAGCUCACAAAGUUGAAGCUUCCUUUGUUCUGCUGCAGCAUGCAUGUCCCAAUUUAGUUUCUUCAGUGCCCAGUGUGCUUUAUGCUCUAGCUCUAGGGGCAAAUGACAAGCCUUGCCAUAAACAAUUCGGUAAGGAGACAUGCCGAGUGGGGUUUUGUAUGCUGUUCUAUAGGCCCAUAAAGAGUCAUGCAAAUGUAAAGACCAAUCUUUCCUUGUUGGGUUCACCACUUUUUCUAAGAUCUUUUUAAUUUCUCUGUUGGACACUUCAACCUGACCAUUGGAUUGUGGGUAAUAUGCUGUUGCUAUCUUGUGUCUGACUCCAUAUUUCAUCAUUGCUACAGCAAAGAUUUUAUUGCAAAAAUGUGCGCCUUCGUCACUAAUAAUUGCUCUAGGAGUACCAAACCUGGAGAAAACAUUUUUUUGAAGAAAAGUCACCACGGUUUUAGCAUCAUUGGUAGGUAAUGCUGUAGCUUCCACCCACUUGGAGACAUAGUCUACAGCAACAAAGAUAUAUAAGUUUCCAAAGGUCCCAUGAAAUCUAUUCCCAAAACAUCAAAAACUUCUACUUCCAGUAUGUUGGUCAAUGGCAUCUCAUGUAUGCUGAUUAUGUUCUCUGUCCUUUGACACCUGUCACAACAUUUAACAAAUUCAUAAGCAUCUUUAAAAAUAGUGGGCCAAUAAUAACCUGAUUGUAAAAUUUUGGCAGCUGUUCUGUGACCACCAAAAUGUCCUCCAUAUGCUGCAGCAUGACAUGACUCUAGUAUAUGAGGUAUUUCUUCUGCUGCAACACAUCUUCUUAUUACUUGAUCCGAGCAUAGCUUAUAUAAAUGUGGGUCAUCCCACUGGUAGCUUUUAAGAUCAUGAAGAAAUUUCUUUUUCUCUUGAAACUUCAGCUCAGGUGGUAGUAACCCACUUACUAGAUAGUUAGCAAAGUCUGCAUACCAUGGAGAUUCUAACUGCUGCAGCAUCUGUGCUUGCUGUAUUGCCAACAGCUGUUCAUCAGGAAAAGUUUCAGUGAUGCCCUUCCUUGUCAAUGUACUAGUGUCUGCUUCCAACCGUGACAAGUGGUCUGCCACUUGAUUCUCAGUCCCCUUUCUAUCUUUAAUUUCCAGAUCAAAUUCUUGAAGUAAUAAGAUCCAUAUGAUUAGUCUUGGUUUGGCAUCCUUCUUUGAAAUUAAAUAUUUGAUGGCUGCAUGGUCUGUGUAAACAGUUACUUUAGUACCUACCAGGUAAGCUCUGAAUUUGUCAAAAGCAAAAACCAAUGCUAGCAACUCUUUCUCUAUAGUGGUGUAAUUGAUCUGAGUUGGAAUGAAAGUUUUGCUUGCAUAGUAUAUAGAAUGAAAAACCUUAUCCUUCCUUUGCCUUAAUACUGCUCCCACAGAAUGAUCACUAGCAUCACACAUCAAUUCGAAUGGUAAAUUCCAAUCUGGAGAUAUAACUACUGGAGCAGUGAUCAAGGCUUUCUUUAAUUCUCCAAAUGCUUGAAGGCAUUCUUUGUCAAAGUGAAAUUGUUUAUCAUGCUCCAGCAAUGAACAUAGAGGCUUGGCUACUCUGAAAAAAUCCUUGAUAAAUCUUCUACAGAAUCCAGCAUGACCCAGAAAACUCAUAAUACCCUUUACUGAGGUUGGGGGUGGCAGUUUAUCUAUGACCCAGCACUAUUCCUUCUUGCACUAUGAAAUGAAACUUCUCCCAAUUAAGUACUAAGUUGGUCAUCUCACAUCUUUUAAGAACUUCUUCCAAGUUUUGUAAACAAUUACCAUAUGUCUCUCCAAAAACUGAAAAACCAUCCAUGAAAAUCUCCAAGGUCUGCUCUACCAUAUCAGAAAAUAUAGACAUCAUGCAUCUCUGAAAAGUUACUGGAGCAUUGCAUAACCCAAAUGUCAUUCUUCUGAAGGCAAAUAUUCCAUAAGGACAAGUAAAUGUAGUCUUCUCUUGAUCCUCUGGUGCUAUAGCAAUCUGCUUGUAGCCUGAAUACCCAUAUAAGAAAUAGUAGUAUUGUUUUCAAGCAAGUCUGUCCAGCAUAUGAUCUAUGAAUGGAAAUGGGAAAUUGUCUUUCCUUGUUGCUUUAUUGAGCUUCCUGUAAUCCAUACACACUCUCUAUCCAGUCACUGUCCUUAUAGGAAUAAGUUCAUUCUUCUCAUUAGCCAUUACUGUUAUCCCUCCUUUCUUUGGAACACACUGAACUGGGCUUACCCAUGAACUGUCUGAUAUUGGGUAUAUGAUUCCAGCAUCUAACCAUUUGAUGAUUUCCUUCUUCACCACUUCUUUCAUAAUAGGAUUCAGCAUUCUCUGGUGCUCCACCGAAUUGCUGGAACAGUCUUCUAAAAGGAUCUUAUGCAUGCAUAUUGAUGGGCUGAUACCUUUUAUAUCUGCCAUGGUCCAUCCAAUUGUCUUCUGUAUUUUCCCAACAAAUCUACUAGGCUUUGUUCUUGACCUGCAUCCAAUGUAGAAGCAAGGAUUACAGGGAGUGUGUUGUUUUGACCAAGAUAAGCAUACUUUAAAUGUGAAGGUAACAGUUUUAAUUCAAAACUAGAGGGUGAUUCAAUAAAUGGUAAAGUUGUUUUUACUUCCUUGUCUGAAAGAUUCAGGUGUUCAAUAACCCUGUUGUGCCCAUUAGAUUGUUGUUUGUCCAUCUAAUCUGUUUGAAUUGCUACAACAUCUUCCUCUUCAACCUCCUCAAAGGUGGUGACUUUGUUAAAUAAAUUACUGCAGCAUCUGUCCAGUCUGUCUGCUACAACAAGAUCCACUAACUUAGGAAAUUGCAAUCAUCUAUUUCAUCAGGGUUUCUCAUGGCCUUUAGUACAUUGAAUGUGACUUGCUGAUCAUUCACUCUCAUAGUCAGCUCUCAUUUCUGCACAUCUAUCAAAGUCUUUCUGGUUGCUAGAAAAUGUCUGCCAAGUAUAAUGGGUACCUCUUUGUCAGCUUCAAAAUCCAGCAUAAUGAAAUCCACUGGAAAAAUGAAUUUGUCAACCUUCACCAGUACAUCCUCUACUCCAAGCUGCUUAAAUAUAGAUAAUGGCAUCAAGUUGAUAUUAGCUCCCAAAUCACAAAGUGCUCUGCCAGCAUACCUAUUCCCUAUAGAGCAGGGUAUUGUAAAACUGCCUGGAUCUUUUAAUUUUGUGGGAAUUUUACUCUGAAGCAUAUGGCUGCUUUCCUGUGUUAGAGCAACAAUUUCAAACUCUCCCAGCCUUCUUUUUCGUGCCAAGAUAUCUUUUAGAAAUUUUACAUAAUUUGGCAUUUGCUCCAAAGCUUCCACAAAAAGUAUGUUUAUGUGCAGUUGCUUCAACACUUCUAGGAAUUUACUGAACUGCUUGUCUUGUUUUUGCUUCUGGAACCUUUGAGGGAAGGGUGGUGGAUGUCUAAACUGCUGGUUAGAUUCAGGAGAUACCAAACUCUGUUUGUUUAAGUUGGUGCAAGUUGUGGCUAUUGGUGUUGUAACUUCUUUUUCAGCAAGAUCUGGUUGAUUUUCUUUUGCAGUUGCUGUGGCUGGGUCCCUUGCAUCAGUGUCUUGAUGGGGAGUCUGCUGUAACAUGCUUCCCUUUUGAGUUGGUUUUUGAGCUGAAAUGCCUUCCAUCCCAUUUUUGGUCACCUCAACUGAGAUAUCAACAUGCUUUCCAGAUCUCAGACUAAUCACUUUGCAGUGUUCCUUGCUCUCUCUCCUAUGAUCUUCUGUGCUGCUAGGUAAGCUUCUUUGAGUUCUGCUGCUCAUUGCUGUAGCUAAUUGUCCCAUUUGGUUAUCAAGGUUUCUUGAUUAGUAUUAAAAAUUGUUUAAUUAUCAAGCGAUAAUAUGUUAUUUUAUGCUUAUGUUAUAAUUUAUAUUUGUGUUUAUGUAAUAUAUUAUGAAUUAUUAAUUAUGUUUUAAAUAUAUUUAAUUUUGUGUAUUUUUAUGUGUUUAUUAGGAAAAAUAUUAUUUUCACGUACUUCGAGGCUCCAAACAGAUAAACAGAGGUCAAAUUUGGAUUCCGGAGGUCCGAAAACCUUAGGAUCAGUCAAGAUUGGCUUAAAAUUGGACUUGUGUAAAAAAAAUUGACUUUUUUCUGUUGACCGAGCACUGAUUGGAUGAUGAAAUGAGCUUACAAUAGAUAUGAGUGCAUGGGAUAGCUGGUAAUUUUGACUAAAUCUCAACCGUUCAUGAUUCAAUGGCCAUGAUUGUGCCACGUGGCAAUGGUUGGUGAAGCAAGUUGGAGGAUCCGAAUCUUUGUAUUCGGGUCGACCCGAUCCACCCAUUAACACGCCAAAUCUCAACCGUUCUUUGGGCAAAUCGGACAAGUCAAAUGAUGCCACGUGUGAUGUUGACUUUUGAAGUUUGACCAGCCAUUGGAUCUUGAUCUAAAGGUUGUGAGGAGCACAUGCAUGAAGCUUAUGAUGGACCGCAAAGCACUGGAUUAUGAAUUUAUUUUUCUAUAAAUAGAGCCUCAUUUUUAUGUUUUUAAUCAUCUCUCUACAACUCUUUUCUUCUCAAAUUCUCUCCAUCUCCUUGUAAUCUUGAUUUCCAAGUGUGUUUUUAAUAUUUUGUAUAAUUAUUUUUAUAAAUAAAAUUAGUUUUAUUUCCAAUUUUAGUUGUUUUUAUUUCUUUUAAUUAUAAGUAAUUCAAUUUUACUACUUCUUUUUAUUUUAAUUAUGCUUAAAUAAAUAAUAUUAGUUAGGGGAAGGUGAAACUCUUAGGAAAUAAAUAUAAUUUAAGCAAAUUCUAUUUUUAAUUUUAUAAAUUAAAUUAUUUUCUAUUUAAUUUUAUACAUAUUUUAUAUUUUGAAAUUUUGAUUUAUUGUAGACAAACAAAUGAAUUUGGCACAAUAAAUUCUUAAUAUCUUAAUAUAAGGUAUGGUAAAAUGGUAUUUUGACUUAUUGUCGACAAAUUAAAUUUUGGCACAAUAAAUACUUAAUCCAUCAUAAAAUUAAAGGAAAAAUAAUAAUAAUUUAUAUAAUUAAUCUUUUGGGCAAUAAAUGUAAAAAAAGGGCAAAAAGAAUUUAUUAAGUUUUAUUUACUUCUAAGAGUGGAUCCAUAACUCUAACUAGUUUAAUUUCAUAGUUUCAUUUAAAUUAAGUUGUUUAUAUUUAAGUUUUAAUUUCAAUUUUUAGUUAAAAUAAAGUACACGAAUUAAAUCUUUUCUCUGUGGAUCGACCUCGGACUCACCGAGUUAUAAUACAACAAAACACUCUUAUACUUGGGAGUUAAAAAUUACUUUUAAGUUGUGUUAAGUUUUUGGCACCGUUGCCGGGAAAUUUUUUUUUAUUUAGUUUGUUUUUCCGUUUUUUAUUUUUCUCUAAUAUGUAAAAUUUUGUUUGCCCCCUUUUACUUUUCUUAAAUUCUCUUUUGUCCCCAUAUCUUUCAUAAUUCUCGUUUCAACCCAACAAUUCCCGUUUCUAGCCCAAUCGUCUGGUAAUUACAUUUUGACCCCAACAUCUUUCAAUCGUUUCACUUUCAUCUCAAAUUGCUCAAUUCUAGACUUCUAAAAAUUAUAGUUUGACCAUAAAAUUAAAAAUAAUUUGCAAUAGAAUCCCUAGACGAAAUUCCUCAAAAUAAUCAAGACUUGGACAUACUUUGGACAUAUUUGGACUUAUUUUGGACUUAAUUUGGACCAAAGUAACUUUAACUACUAACUCUAAUUACUAACUCUUAACUUACUAACUGCUAAUUCCUAACUUUUUUUAAUUUCAGUUAUUUAAUUUUCUGCAUUUAUUUUAUUUCGUAUUUAUUUAUUUUUGCUUUAUUGGUGGGUUUAACCACCAAACUAACUACUAACUCUUAAUUUUUAUUUUCAGUUAUUUAAUUUUCAGUGUUUAUUUAAUUUUGUAUUUUUUUGCUUUAUUUUUUUAAUUGGUGGGUUCAACCACCAUUUUUUUAUUAUUUUUGCAUUUAUUUAUUUAUUUUUUACUUUGUUGGUGGGUUCAACCACCAUUUUUUUUUCUUUUUCUUUCUUUUGCAUUUAUUUUAUACUUAAUUUAUUGUUAAUUGGUGGGUUCAACCACCAAAAUUGUUAUUUAAUUUUCUUUUGUACACUUAUAUUAUUUGCAUAUUUAAUUUUUUUAUUUUAUUUUGUUAUCAAUUUGUGUAAAUAUUAUCUUUAUAAUAUAACCAUUGCAUGAGACGUUGGUCUUGAUCUUCAAGUGGCAGGUUAAUUCGUAGAUCUCAAUCUCCACCACCAAUCAUGGAUGAGAAUCAAGGCGAAAACGUUUUGGGCGAAUUUAAUCCUCAAAUUGAUUAGGGAGACAACCAAUCUCAACAUGGGCACGAUCAAAAUCAACCAAGAACUCUGAGAGACUACAUGAAUCCAACCAGAACCGGAGCACCGUCGUGUAUAGUAUUUCCUCCAGAAGCAUCUCGAUUCAACUUUAAACCAAGUAUUAUCCAACUUUUACCAAUAUUUCAUGGUUUAGAAUAUGAGAAUCUGUACUUGCAUCUAAGAGAUUUUGAGGAAGUUUGUAAUACAUACACGGACCAAAAUUGUAGCAUGAACAUAAUUAGAUUAAAGCUUUUUCCUUUUUCAUUAAAAGAUAAAGCUAAAACUUGGCUACAAAACCUUAGAUCUGGAUCAGUAAGAACUUGGAAUAACAUGCAAGAACAGUUUUUGAAAAAAUUCUUUCCACCUCAUAGAAAAAAUUCUUUUAAAAGGCAAAUCACUUAUUUCACUCAAAAAAAUGGAGAAACAUUAUACCAAUGUUGGGAUAGGUUUAAAGAGUUGCUUAACAUCUGCCCACAUCAUGGUUUUGAAACUUGGCGAUUGGUCACUUACUUCUACGAGGGCUUAAUACCCCAAAGUAGACAGGUUGUUGAAAUGAUGUGUAAUGGUGAAUUUAGGGAUAAAAAUCCUGAAGAUGCACUAGAUUACCUUGACCAAUUAGCUGAAAAUGCACAACAUUGGGAUACUGUUGGAACUUUUGAAUUGACAAAUAAGCAACAAUCAUCUCCAUCUAGUGGAGGAAUCCAUAACCUUAGGGAAGAUCAUGAUUUACAAGCAAAAUUUGCAUCCCUAGUUAGGAAAGUUGAAGCUUUGGAGCAUAAAAAGAGUGAUCAAGUAAAAUCUGUUCAAGAAAUUGCAUGUAACAUAUGUAAUUCGAAUGAUCAUUUCACUUAAGAGUGUCCCACUUUGCCUGCACUUAAAGAAUGUCUAAAUGAUCAAGCUAAUGUCAUUAACACUUUCAAUAAACCAAACCCAUAUUCACAGACUUAUAAUCCUGGUUGGAGAAAUCAUCCGAAUUUCAGUUGGAGGAAUAAUAAUAAUGCACAAUCUUCACGAGCACCACCUCCACAAAAUUUCAAAAUCCUCAGCCUUAUGCACCAUAUGUUCCAUCACCCUGGAAAAAUCUGGAAGACACAAUGCAUUCAUUCAUUAGAAAGCAAGAUGUUAUUAACAAUCAAAAUGCACAAACUUUUUCUAAUUUGAAAGAUACUCUUGUUAAAAUUGCUUCUGCACUCACCAUUCAAGAAAAAGGAAAAUUUCCAGCUCAACCACAACCAAAUCCUAAAAUUCAAUAAAAUCCACCCACAGACCAAGUCAAGUCAGUUAUAACUCUUCAUAGUGGUAAGGUUCUUGAUAGACCUAUGCCUGAACCUUAUGAAAAUGAUGAAAAUUCAAAUGGUAAGGAAGGACUAAAUGAACUUACACCUAGUGAAGAAAUAACUAGUGUUCCACCUGAACCACCAUUUCUGCAUGCAUUGAAUAAACCAAGGAAAUCAAACCACUCUUUUGAAAUUUAUGAAAUCUUUAAGCAAGUGAAAGUUAACAUUCCUCUAUUAGAUGCAAUCAAGCAGGUUCCUUCAUAUGCCAAAUUUUUAAAGGACUUGUGCACUGUUAAGAGGAAAUUGAAGGUAAGAAAGAGUACUUUCAUGGCCGAACAGGUAAGUACAAUUAUGUCUACUAAUAAUAAGUUGAAACAUAAAGAUCUUGGUUGUCCUACCAUUUCUUGUAUUAUUGGUAACCACAGAAUUGAGCAUGCUUUACUAGAUCUUGGUGCUAGUGUUAAUUUGCUUUCACAUUCAGUUUAUCUUCAACUUAAUCUUGGUGAGUUAAAAUCAACUUCAACUACACUUUUGCUUGCCGAUAGAUUAGUUAACGUACCAAAAGGAAUAGUGGAAGAUGUUUUAGUACAAGUUGAUAAAUUCAUCUAUCCUGUAGAUUUUAUUGUCUUGGAAACUGAACCUGUUGUGAAUAAUUACAAACCAAUUCCUGUAAUUUUAGGUCGACCAUUUUUAGCAACUACUAAUGCUUUGAUUAAUUGUAGGAAUGGUUUAAUGAAUUUAUCUUUUGGGAAUAUGAAUUUGGAAUUAAAUGUUUUCAACAUGUGCAGGCAACCUAAUGAAAAAAAUGAGAAUGAAGAUGAUACUGAUGAACAAAAGGAAUUGUUUGAAUCUUGUAUCAAAGAAAAUAUUCAAAAAGGGGAUUUUUCUAAACUCUCAAAUGUUUGUUUAGUUAAUUCAAUUGAGUCAAAUAAGCAACUUGAACUAAAUAUUUCUAAUAUAAAUUCGUUGCUUGAUUCUGUGCAGACUUCACAAAAUUAUGAUGACGAGCCAAAAUUUGAGGAACUUGGAAGUAUUGAAAAGACAGAACAACAACAAGCACCUAAAAUGGAAUUGAAACCUUUGCCUGAAGGAUUGAAAUAUGCUUUUCUUGGAGAAGAACAAACUUAUCCUGUUGUGAUUUCAUCUACUUUAACAAGCGACCAAGAAGGUAAGUUACUAACUGUUCUUAAAAAGUAUAAAAAUGCAAUUAGAUGGACUUUAAAUGAUAUUAAAGGCAUUAAUCCCUUAAUCUACACAUAUAGAAUUAAUUUGGAAGAAAAUGCUAAAACAUGUCUACAACCUCAAAGAAGAUUAAACCCACACAUGAAAGAGGUAGUCAAAACAGAAGUCCUUAAAUUGCUUGAUGUGAGAAUUAUCUACCCUAUUUCUGAUAGUAAGUGGGUAAGUCCUACACAAGUAGUGCCUAAAAAAUCUAGAAUCAUUGUUGUUAAAAAUGAAAAAGGUGAAUUAAUUCCAACACGAAUUACAUCUAAUUGGCGCAUAUGCAUUGAUUAUAGAAAAUUAAAUGAAGCAACUAGAAAAGAUCAUUUUCCAUUACUAUUCCUUGACCAAAUCUUAGAAAGAGUAGCAGGACAUCCCUACUACUGUUUUUUAGAUGGAUAUUCGGGUUAUUAUCAAAUAUUCAAAUUCCUAUAGCACUUGAGGACCAAGAAAAGACCACAUUUACAUGUCCUUUUGGAACAUUUGCAUUUAAAAGAAUGUCAUUCAGGCUUUGUAAUGCUCCUGCAACAUUUCAAAGAUGUAUGUUAAGCAUUUUUUGUGAUAUGGUUGAACAUUGUUUAGAGGUCUUUAUGGAUGAUUUGACUGUGUUUGGGAAUUCUUUUGAUGAUUGCCUUGAUAAUUUGGAGAAAAUUUUAAAAAGAUGUAUUGAAAAAGAACUCGUGUUGAAUUGGGAAAAAUGUCACUACAUGGUUACUUCUGGAAUUGUUUUGGGUCAUGUUGUUUCUAUUAAAGGAAUUGAAGUUGACAAAGCAAAAAUCGAAGUCAUAUCUAAAUUGCCACAACCAAAAAUAGUUAGAGAUGUGCGAUCCUUUUUAGGACAUGCAAGAUUUUAUAGGAGGUUUAUAAAAAACUUUAGUGCCAUAUCUAAACCACUUUGUAACCUCUUAUUAAAAGAUGCACCGUUUGAAUGGAAUGAUGAUUGCCAAAAAUCUUUUGAAAAAAUAAUUUGUCUUUUAAUAUCUGCACCUAUUAUGCAAUCUCCUGAUUGGUCGUUGCCAUUUGAAUUAAUGUGUGAUGCAAGUGAUUUUGCUGUUGGUGCCGUUUUAGGACAAAGAAGGGAUAGUAAGCCUUUUGUGAUUUAUUAUGCGAGUAAGACUUUGGAUAGUGCUCAAAUGAAUUGUUCUACAACUGAAAAAGAAUUACUUGUUGUGGUAUUUGCAUUAAACAAAUUCCGUUUAUAUUUUCUUGGCUCUAAAUCUAUUGUGUUUACUGACCAUGCUGCUGUGAGUAUUUGAUGAGUAAACAGGAUGCCAAACCGAGACUAAUUCGUUGGAUUUUGUUACUUCAAGAAUUUGACCUUACCAUCAAAGAUAAAAAGGGUGCUGAAAAUGUUGUUGCUGAUCAUCUAUCACGACUCACAUCUGAAUUCUACAAUUAUAUAACACCCAUAAAUGAUUCUUUCCCUGAUGAAUUUUUAUUUUCUAUUACUUCGAUGCCAUGGUAUGCUAAUAUUGUUAAUUUUCUUGUUACAGGUAAAAUGCCUUUGCAAUGGAAUGCUCAAGAGAAGAAGAAAUUUCUUGUUGAAGUAAAGAAAUUUUAUUGGGAUGAUCCUUAUUUGUUCAAAUAUUGCCCAUAUCAAAUUUUUCGGCGAUGUAUUCCUGAUAAUGAUGUAAGUGGUGUCAUUAAUUUUUGUCAUUCUGAAGCAUGUGGUGGUCACUUUUCUUCAAGAAAAACUACUGCUAAAAUUUUACAGUGUGGAUUUUAUUGGCCUACCAUGUUUAAAGACACAUAUGAAUUCUGCAAAAGUUGUGAAAAAUGUCAAAAAUUGGGAUCAAUUACAAAAAGAAACAUGAUGCCCUUAAAUCCCAUACUUGAAAUUGAAAUAUUUGAUUGUUGGGGAAUUGAUUUCAUGGUUCCAUUUCCAUCAUCUUUUGGAUUUGUGUAUAUAUUAGUUGCAGUUGAUUAUGUCUCAAAAUGGAUUGAAGCAAUUUCUUGUCGAAAUAAUGAUAGUAAAAUUGUGGUUAAAUUUUUAAGAGAAAACAUUUUAAGUCGAUUUGGAAUCCCUCGAGCCAUUAUCAGUGAUGGAGGUAAGUAUUUUUGUAAUAAGUCAUUUGAGUCUUUAAUGAAGAAAUAUGGAAUUACACAUAAAAUUGCUACCCCUUAUUAUCCUCAAAUAAAUGGUCAAGUUGAAUUAGCAAAUAGGGAGAUAAAACAAAUUUUGGAAAAAACGGUUAACCCAAACCAAAAAGAUUGGUCUCUUAUACUUAAUGAUGCACUUUGGGCUUACCGUACUGCAUUUAAAACGUCAUUAGGAAUGUCACCCUAUCGGUUAGUUUAUGGUAAACCUUGUCAUUUAUCUGUUGAACUUGAACAUAAAUCACUUUGGGCUAUUAAAGCUUUUAAUUUAAAUUUGGAUGAUGCUGGUAAUGUGCGAAAAUUGCAAUUGAAUGAACUUGAGGAAUUAAGGAAUGAUGCAUAUGAAAAUUCAAGAAUUAUUAAGGCAAGAACAAAAGCAUUUCAUGAUAAAAGAAUUUUUCGAAAAACAUUUGAGAUUGGUCAAAAAGUAUUGCUUUAUAAUUCUCGUCUUCAUUUAUUUUCAGGGAAGUUAAAGUCAAAAUGGAGUGGCCCAUUUGUUGUAAAAAAUGUAUAUUCAUAUGAGGCCAUAGAAAUUGAGAAUCCAAAGAAUGGUGUCACAUUUAAAGUUAAUUGUCAAAGAUUAAAACCAUAUCUGGAACAUCACCCACGUGACGAGGACAUUGAAAUUAAUUUGGGUGAGACACCGAAAUUAAUUUGGGUGACCCACCAAUUCUUGAUUAAGUCUUUAAUGAUUUAUUUUGUUUUAUUUUAUUUUGUUUUACUAUUAUUUUACCGUUUCAUUGUUUGAUUUUUUUUUCUUUUUCUCUAGAUUGAUGCACUGUACAUAUUUUUUUUAACAUUGUUUUUCUUGUGUAAACGUGUUUGUUUGAUAGUUGUACAUUCUCUCAUCAAUUUUCAUUUUACAUCAUGAGCACCUCAAUGAGAAAAUUCCUGUUCGCACAUCUUAAAAGAUUUCUGCGUGUGAAAUUUCACUUAAGAGGCCUGAUACAAAGCUGUAAAUCCCAUCCACUUUGGGAUCUGCAACCACCAGAAUUCGUGUCUUAUGUUGAGGAUCUAGAGGGACAACUCAGAACAGUAGAGAGUGGCAUAUAUGAAUUUCAAUUGGAGCUUGACGUUAACUCAAUGAGAGGACGAAUGUAAGUUCAUUUUCCUUUUAUAUUGUGUGUUUCUUUUUGCUCGCUUUCACGUUUGAUUUGAUUUUGCAGAUUUGAUUUUGGUGUAUUUUGAUUUAUUUUCCCGUAUAAAUGGCGGAUAACAGUACUCCGUGACUUCUUAAGUCGGUAUCUUCAGUUUCCCACAAUAACUGAAACCCCAAAAUCAAACAUGGAAGAAAUACAACAUAAACUCCAUAAGCAUUUUCCCUUUCUCCCUCAGAAUGCCCUCAGGAAAAUUUACAAAGCUCGUUGUGAACGACUGCGUUUGUUAAUGAUCAAUGGCAUUCCUCNNNNNNNNNNNNNNNNNNNNNNNNNNNNNNNNNNNNNNNNNNNNNNNNNNNNNNNNNNNNNNNNNNNNNNNNNNNNNNNNNNNNNNNNNNNNNNNNNNNNUGGCAUGAGUAAAGAAUCGUUGGAUGAUAUCUUACGAUCUCUUGAGAUGCAUCGAAGCAAAAUUGUGCAACGUGAGAUUUAUAAUUUGUGGAUACUAUUGCAAAAACAAAGUACACAGUUUAGUCUUGGGAAUCUAACUCAAAAAGACCCUGUUUGCCAGUUUAUAAGAAAACUGGAUGGGAAGUCGAUCUUCGACCCAUAGAGGGCGUUCAAGCCGUUACUGGACGUAAAACCAGAGGAAGAUGUGAGCCACAAUCACAACUACCAGUAAAUAUCCUUUCACUUCACUGUUUUUUACUUUACUGUUAUUUUAUCAUUUGCAUUAUUGCAUUUAGCGAAGUGAUUUUGUAUUUAAUAAAUAUUUGUUUUCUUUUACUGUUUGCUUUUUCUAAUCAUUAUUUUCUUUUUACUGUUUGUUUUUGAAUUAUUGAGCCACGAGCUUUACUCAUCAUUUGACAAAUAUGCCAACCCAUUUACAGCUGUUUCUCAUUAUUUAUGUCACCAAGAUCUUUAAAUAUGAGCUCGUUUUUCAAACACUCACAACUUGUUUUUGAAAAUUAGUCCAAUGGCAACAUCUUCGAGCAAACAAUUCAAAAACAUUUGUGUGCUUUCUGGGUUUCACAAUGGAAAGUACAAAGAGUUCGUUCAGGCAGGUGAAGAUCUUGGUCGUGUCAUAGCAGAGAGGAAACUGCAUCUUGUAUAUGGAGGAGGUGAACGAGGGUUUUCAAGACUUGUCUUAGAAGCUGUUUUUACUAGAGGAAGCCAAGUACUAGGCAUUAUUCCAAAAGCCAUGAAACCGCUAGUGUGCAUGUCUGGCCCACCAAUUGGAGAAGAAUUAGUGGUAUCAAGUAUGCAAGAGAGAAUAUAUGAAAUGAUGAAUCAUGUUGAUGCUUUUAUUUUCUUGCCAGGAGAUCUUGCAACCUUUGAGGCACUAAUUACAUUUGUAUCUUAGGCCCACUUGAACAUUCAUCAAAAACCCAUCGGUUUGUUAAAUGUUAAUAAUUUUUAUGACGGCUUGCUAACUUUUAUUAACCAUGCAAUAAAGAAUCAUUUUGUUCCAUAUUCUGUAAAAAAAACUCUCUAUUUCUGCUUCUACUGCUAAUGAGUUACUUGAUCUUUUACAAGCUUAUACAGCAGAGCCAGAUCCAAAGACUUUUGCACUGAAUUGGUCGACUGAUGAUGGUAGCGGUAACAGUAGCAGUAAUAAGAAGUGCGAUUUAGAUUUAACUCUCCGUUUGUAAAUAUUUUCUGUUGUAGUGUUCAUGUGCUGUCUUCUAAACUCUUUCUCUUUCCUUUUAAAACAUUGAGGACAAUGUCUUUUUCAGGUUGGGGGGAGGGAAUAGUUGAUAAUUGUGGAAUGUCUUAGUCCUGGUGAUGUGUUUACAAAAAAAAACAAAAAAAUAAAAAAAAAUUUUCUGUAAAGACUAACUUAGGACAAAUUUGAGUUGAAGAUGACAGUAUAUAGAGAAUGUAGUACCUCUAGAAAUGCAUCUUUUUAAUCUUAAGGGUGUUGUUAAAAAAAAUUGACUUUUUCUUCAUCUUUGUUAUCCGCUUUUAAGCUUUUGCAUCAAGUUCAGGUGAGAUCUCCUCUUCGUUUUUCUUUUAUUAUUCUCUUUUAUUAUUAUUAUUAUUAUUUUUUUGUAUAUUUGUAAAAUUAUAAAAUGUUAAGAUAAUGUUUAGAUUAGGUUGUGGGGUGGGGAUAAUUGACGUAUGUUUUUAAAUAUGUGUGUUGUUUUUCUCUUUUCUUUUUUCUUUUCUUUGUUAAAAAAAACAAAAAAAAAAUAUUUUUGUUUUUGUCUAGGAUGGCCGUGUAAAGAGUCACGACUUUUGAGACGCAUCCUAAUAGUCUUGUUGUAUUAUAUUUUGAUUUUGAGAUUCAUAGUAAAUUGUUUUUGUUCCAUUUUCUUUGAAUUACCCGAAUUUGUGAACUCUCCACUUGGUUAUUAAGUUAUUUAAUUGUUUACUCAUUUAACAGGUAUUGUUGAAUCAUUCUUCACACACACAUUAUGACACAUACUAGUGGGUUGUAAGUUAAAAUUUUACAGCAUUUAGUUCUUUUGAUUUAUUAAGAAUAGUAUCUAAGGUAGUAGAAAGUGUAUAUUGCAAAAAAAAAAUAUAUUUUUAAUUUUGUUAUAUCUAGAAACCCCAGUAAUUAAGUCCGUAGGGGUGUUUCAACACCUAGUGCCCUAAGGUCAACUGGUCUGGGAGUCACUGGCCUAAAGCUCGAUACAUGGGUAAUAGAUAUAUUGUUUGUUUAUUAGAAACUCGAGUAAUUACGUCCGUAGGGGUGCUUCACCACCUAGUGCCCUAAGGCCAACUGGUCUGGGAGUCACUGAUCUAAAGAUCGCUACACGGGUUAGAAAUGUAAUAUUUAAAAUAUAUAUAUAUAUAUAUGUGAAUAAUCUAUUGCCUAAAGAUAUAAUUUCUAAUGAAUUUUGGAACGAAAAUGAUGUUUUUCUUUUAAUGAAGCCCCAUAAGUAUUGUGUUAAUUACUUGAGCACAAAAGAAGGUUUGAUCAUAUUCUGAAUAAUGAGUGAACAUCAAUGUGGUAAAGAAAUUUGGGAGAGUUCAUUUAUUUGGUAAUUUAGAGGAUAGAUGAGAAACUAUUAACUUGCAUGUGAAUUUUAUAAAUCUUAAUUUAAUAUAACGCUUUAAUUGCUAGAGGGUUAGCAAUAAGCUGGUUGGGGGGUGUGAUUAGUAUUAAAAAUUAUUUAAUUAUCAAGCGAUAAUAUGUUAUUUUAUGCUUAUGUUAUAAUUUAUAUUUCUGUUUAUGUAAUAUAUUAUGAAUUAUUAAUUAUGUUUUAAAUAUAUUUAAUUUUAUGUAUUUUUAUGUGUUUAUUAGGAAAAAUAUUAAUUUCACGUACUUCGAGGCUCCAAACAGAUAAACGGAGGUCAAAUUUGGAUUCCGGAGGUCCUAAAACCAUAAGAUAAUCAAGAUCGGCUUAAAAUUGGGCUUGUGUAAAAAAAAUUGACUUUUCCUAUUGACCGAGCACUGAUUGGAUUAACAUGCCAAAUCUCAACCGUUCUUUGGGCAAAUCGGACGAGUCAAACGAUGCCACGUGUGAUGUUGACUUUUGAAGUUUGACCAGUCAUUGGAUCUUGAUCUAAAGGUUGUGAGGAGCACAUGCAUGAAGCUUAUGAUGGACCGCAAAGUACUGGAUUAUGAAUUUAUUUUUCUAUAAAUAGAGCCUCAUUUUUUUGUUUUUAAUAAUCUCUCUACAACUCUUUUCUUCUCAAAUUCUAUCCAUCUCCUUGUAAUCUUGAUUUCCAGGUGUGUUUUUAAUAUUUUGUAUAAUUAUUUUUAUAAAUAAAAUUAGUUUUAUUUCCAAUUUUAGUUGUUUUUAUUUCUUUUAAUUAUAAGUAAUUCAAUUUUACUACUUUUUAUUUUAAUUAUGCUUAACUAAAUAAUAUUAGUUAGGGGAAGGUGAAACUCUUAGGAAAUAAAUAUGAUUUAAGCAAAUUCUAUUUUUAAUUUUAUAAAUU
rnacentral:lncRNA from 1 species